rnacentral:lncRNA from 1 species
UACGGCUCCACGACUGUUGCUCAAACCCCAUCACCAGCACCUUCAGGUCCAACCAACAUCACCGCAAUCCUCGAGAAGGCUGGUCAGUUCACAACCUUGAUUCGGUUAAUGAAAAGCACCCAAGAGGCUGACCAAAUCAACACACAACUAAACAACUCAAACCAAGGCCUAACAGUAUUUGCACCACCUGACAACGCCUUUACUAACCUCAAAGCAGGCACGCUGAAUUCACUCAGCGAUCAACAAAAGGUCCAACUGGUGCAAUUCCACAUCAUUCCAAAUUUCUUUUCCAUGUCAAGCUUCCAAACUGUGAGUAAUCCCUUGCGUACUCAGGCCGGUAACAGUGCCGACGGCGAGUUCCCGCUAAAUGUGACAACAUCAGGGAAUCAAGUGAACAUAACAACAGGGGUUAAUACUGCAACAGUGGCUAACACUAUAUUCACUGAUGGCCAGUUAGUUGUGUAUCAGGUGGAUCAGGUCCUUCUGCCAUUAGAUCUCUUUGGUACAGCGGCAGCACCAGCACCUGCACCUUCAAAGCCUGAUAAAGAUGUUCCAGCCAAAGCUCCUGCAGGGUCAAAGGAAGAUGCCUCUGUUGAUGCUUCAGGUGCAACCAUUGCAACUGUAUCUGUCAGUGUCGUGCUGAUCGCAGCAAUUUCAUUGAAGCUAUGAGUUUUUGUUUUCGGAAAUUGAUAAGGAGUUCUUGUUUUAUUGAUCUGUUGUGAUUUGAACUGAGGUGGAUUAUUCUUUGGUUACUCUCCCUCUCCUCUUUUAUGUAAUGUACCAUGAUUGGCUGAGAUCUUCCUCUCCACUCAAUUUUGUGAUCUUAUGUUCAAAUUUAAAGUUAAUUGCAAUAAAAUUCCGAUCCUGUAGAUUGAAAUUUUGGAUUGAAAUCUAAUCAAUACAAUCACCAAUUAUAGAGAAUCGGAUGCAAAACGAUAAUAUAAUAAUGGAGGAUGCAACAGAAAGAUGAAUCGGAGCUCAAUAAUUUCAUUGAAUCAACCAAUUCAAGUUAUUGAACUGGGAAGAUUUUGGAAGCAAAACUUUAUCGAGGAAUAAACUGAUCCCGUGACAAACCCUCUUUUAAUUGGCCAUGAUGUGCCUGUUAGUAUCAUUAUUCAAAUUGGUGUAAGGACUAUGUUACAAUAAAAGCAAAGAGAAGAGCAGACUACAAGGAUUGAUCAAUUAUCUGAGUAGAUGGAGUCAGUGCUAGCUACUCUCUAGUCUUUUGCAACUAAUAAGGAAAAUAAAGGGACACGAGGGAAAACUACUGUCCUGAUGGGAUUCAUUUACCACAAAUAAACUACAAUCGUGGAGAGAUAAUGAGUAGCAAUAAAGUUUCAAGUGACGAUACAAUAUAGCUUUACCAAGAAUGAACUACCAAUAUUUGACGGUGAGAAUCCAAAGGUGUGGAUGAGGAAAUGUAGGAAAUUCUUCGAGAGAUGCAUUAGACUCUCUUACAUUAAUAGAUUCAUUAUUAGAAAAUUGAUAAAUAUAAAUGGAAAUAUCGAGAGGAUAUUUUCAUUGGUAAAUUUCCGAUGAAUUUUACAGACGGAAAUAUUCCCUCGGUAUAUACCGAGGGAAUUACAUUGGAAAAAAAAUAUAAUUAAAACAAAGCAAAAAAAAUAAUGAUGUGUCAUUUAUACAAACAGAUACCAACGAAAUAAAUUUCAUCGGUAAAAUCGUUGGUAAACUGUGAACAAUGUUCAUCAUGUCAAUUACAAAGGGAAUCACUAAAGGAAAAUUCCGUCGGUAUUUUCCAGAGAGCUCUGGAACUGUUCACUUCCCAAUUGCACUGUUAAUUACUGUUUUUUAUAGACAAAAUCACCGAUGGAUUGAAAAGUCGUCGGUGUUAUUUGACGGUUUUUUGAAAAUUUUUGAUUAAAUUAAAAUUUUAAAUUAAUAUUACAGAUGGAAUCACCGACGGAUUGAAAAGUCGUCGGUGAUAUUUGGCGGUUUCUGAAAAUUUUUGAUUAAAUUGAAAAUUUAAAUUAAAUAUUACAGACGGAAUCACCGAUGAAAAAUAUUAAUAUUUAAUUAUCCAUCGGUAAAACCGUCGGUAAAACACCCCAAUAAGAAACAUAUAAUCCCUAAUUUCACAACAGACGGGGCUCCUUUGUUGUUGUUCUUCUUCUCCAUAUGUAAAAAACAUCAAUAUCCAUUUCUUUCUCUUUUCUCUCCUCAACUCCUUCUCUUUUCCUCCAUGCUCAGGUAUGUAUUCUUCUUUUUUUUUUCUUUUUUCUUCUCAGUUUUUUUUAAUUAAUAUACUUUAUGAAUUUAUUUUUCUCUUUUUAGCUUCACUUGCAACCACAUUAAGGUAAGAUUUUUCUUUUUUCUUUUUUUUUUUGUGUUUUUUUUCACUAUAUUUGUUAUUUUAUUUUAUUUUUUAUUGUUUUUUUUCUUAAUAAUUGUAUCAAUAUUGUUGUAGGAUUUUUUUUUCAUGUGAUUUUUUUCUUCUUUUUUACAAGCGUUUUGAGUAUUAUAGAGUGAUGAUUUAUAUUAAUUUUAUUAUUUUAUAGUUUUGUAAAAUGGAUUUUUUAAAAAUAUUUUUAAAUAAUUACUGAUGGAAUUACAUACGGUAUUUUUCUGAGGGAUAUACCAACAGAAUAAAGCGGAUAAUUUUUUUUUUGCGCUUUUUUCGUCAGUAAAUCCAUCGGUAAUAAUAUUUUUUUAUUACCAACAGACAAAAAUUACCGACAAAAGAUUCACUGACGAAGUAUUUUCGUCAGUGAUUUCGUUGGUAAAUUAAUUACCAACAGAAUGAUAGUACAAAUACCGACCAAAAAUUCUGUCGAUAAAUAUAAAGAUUGUGGUAGUGAUUGCUUUAACUUAUUUGGAAGGAAGAACCGUGACAUGGUUUGAAGGGCUUUUGUUGGGAAACAAUGACCUAACCAAUUAGGAAGAAUUUUCGAAGGCUAUUUAUGUAAGAUUUGGCACUUGCAGUGAUGUAGUAGAGGAGUUUAACAAAAUAGAUCAAGAGAGAAAGGAGUUGAUGAAUACAUUGAGAGAUUUAAGGAGUUGAAGUCUUUAAAUGAAUGCUCUCAACCCCAUGUUUCUAAAGACAUAUUAUGUAUCUAGCUUUAUUAGUGGAUUAAAGGAACUCAUUAAACCAAUGUUGAAGAUUCUUAAGUCCAUCAUUUUGUAAGCUUUUGAACAAGCUAAAUGGCAGGAAAAAUCUACUGCUGCAUUGGCAAGGGGGAGCAUAAUGGUUUCAAAGAUCAAUUCCUAAUUCAAGAUUUAGAAACCAAUAAAUAUUUCCAAACAAUCAUCUCAUAAUCCUUACGAGCAAAGAAUAAAACUUAGAUUAUGCUUUAAAUAUGAAGAUAAGUUUUCCUUUGAAUACAAAUGUAGUGUUAAGGUUCAUAAAAAAAAGAUAAAAGUUCUUUCAUUUAUUUAAAAAAUAUUUUUUCAAAUUUUCUCUUAUAUUUAUCUCUCCUCCUAUCUUAUUAUAGUUUAAAAUAUAUAGGUUCUAACAUCAUUAUAAAAGACUAUAAAAUGACACUGAAAGAGGUCGCAUGCGCCACCAAAACAACGACCCAUAAAGCAAAUAAAAAAUAUAUCAUGAAGUGAACAUCUCAUGAUUAUAUUUAAUCAAUUAAUUUAAUCUAAAAACAAAAUUUCUUUUUAAAAAAGCUAAAUUUAAUAAAGAACGACAAAUAAAAAAACCCAAGAUAACUCAGGUCAUCUUUAAAAUUAGUGAAAAAUCAUAUAGAAAACUACUAAAAAAAUUAAUGUAACCCAAUCUCCAAUUAAAUAAAUGCUGAAAGAUAAAACUAAAAAACACAUGAGCUUAAAAGAAAGAGAAAAAAACCAAGCAAACCCGAGCAAAUCUUCAAAACCUGAAUUAAUCUUCCAAACUUGCAACUUGUCAAAUCAUAUACCUAGGCUCAAUUCCCAACCAAUGAAAUAAAAAAAAUAUCAUUUUAAUUUUUUUUACAAAGUAAAUAAAAUAGCAACAAAAAGAAUGAGAAUCAAAUUUGAUAGAUGAAAAAAUUAAAUGAGGAUGAAAUUAAAAAAUAAUAAUUUUAUAAACUAUUUCAAAUAAAACAAAUAGUAAUAAAAAAAAUAAGGACUAAAUCUGAAAAAAUAAUUAAAGGGCUACUUUGAAAAUUUGAAAGGUUAGACAUGAAAAUCAAGGAAGAGAGAGAGAAAAAAAUAUCAUUAAUGCUAAAUUGAAGGUCCGUAAGCCACACACUCCAUCUAAGGAUGGAGGGCCGCCGAAACGAUUCGAUCACCACCUUAAAAGCCAUUGUUUGGCCACCGAAUGCCCCAUCAAGUUCCACUUAAAAAACAUGUAUACAUCCCAUAUGCUUGUGCUUGCAAUGCACGUGCUGGCUAGUUUUCUUUAAUAAUAUUUUAUAAUUAUUAAAAUAUUAAAUUUUCUCUUAGUCAACUUAAUUAUAAAAAAAACAAGAAUAAAAGUAAAAAUAAAAACUCUCGAUGCCAAUAAAGAAAUUUAUUUAGAGUAAUUUAGCUAUUUUACUAUGCUUUAAAAAAUAAAAAUUUUAAAAAGUUCAUAAAAGCUAGCUAAAUAAAAUUUUCUUUUAAGAGUAAUUUAAUCAUUAUACAUCAACCCCAAUCUCCAUUCAUUUCUCCUUUAUUUUUCAAACCCAAGCACGGUAGCUCCCUCCACAACUGCCAACCAUACAAACAAAGUAAACAAACAAAAAUCCAUCUUCAUCUUCUCUAUUGUUACAGGAGACACAAUGCGCAUCCACCUUCAAUAACUGCUCUAUCAAAUAUUUUUCAGCCAGUCCAAUAAUUUGUUUUAAGAAGGGGAAAAUGUCAUUAAUUACCCUAUUCCAAUCCAUAAGUUUGGGUACACAGGGAUCCCUUUAGUUUCUUUUUUAAUACUAUAAAAUUUCUGGAUUCCUUCUUAGACAAGUUCAGUCUCCAUUCAUUUAGCCAGGGAAACAUCGUAUCCUUCUCCACUCUUCUUGCUUCCCCUUCUAACAAAGACAUUACAAAUUGUACUUGGAUUUAACCCAGAGUUUUCUCAGGUUAAAUCAUAUUUUGGAUUUAUUAAAAAAUGAUUCAAAUUAAUUGGUCAAAUAAGUAAAAAUAUUUUUUUAACGUAACAAAAAAUAUCAUGGUCAUAAAUAACUAUUUGACAUUGUUAUUAAACAUGGUCUAGUUGGUCAACCUUGAAACCUUUCAAUAUGACUAUUUAUCAGCUGGGUUUUAAAAUUAAAUUAUGUGAGAGUUAGCUCGAUGUGACCCGGUCGACUUGGUCAAUUCAAAAGCAACAUAGUCAGCAAAUAAAAAAAAAUCUGAUGAUGAAAUUGAUAGAAAAAACCUUCCGACCCAGCUUCUUAUCUAAUUCAAGUUUAAAAUUAAACCAUGUGAAAGUUGUCUCGACAUGACUCAAUUGACUUGGUCAGUUCAAAGAAAGCUCAACUGAUCAAUAAAAUAUUUUUAGGAUGAAAUUGAGAAAAAAAAUGUAGUUAACAUAAAAAAAUCUCUCAACCAAACUCGAUUAUGUGAUUGUCUAUUUUUAUUUUUAUCUUUUAGUUAAAAAAAUAGUUUUGAAAAAAAAACAUGUUAUUAAAUUUUAGAAAGUUCAUGGAUAUGUUGACGGUACGACAAGUUAACUUUUUUUUUAAUUUUUUUUUAUUAUUCAAUAUUAAACUGAUAAAUUGAAUCUUUUGGUCUUAUUUAAAUACAUUCAUGGUGGUAUUUAUAGAUAAUAUUUUAGCUUGUAUAUGAAAUAUAAAUAACAUCUGAAGCAUGUAUUGAAAAUCUUGAGGAAUCAUUAAAUAUAUGCCAAGCUGGGAAAACGUGAGUUGUGCCAAAUAAAUAAUAAGAAAGGUUGAGUUAGGCUGACAGGGGAAAGAGUUUGGUUAGGCUGGCCUACUUUCCUUUUUCUUUUCCCUUUCCUCUCCAUCUAGCCUCGGUUGGCCUAGUGGGGUAUGAUGGGCUAGUUUCCAGUUCACCUCCUCUUCUCCCUUUUCUCUUCUUUCUCCUUUUUUAUUCUCUCCCUUUAUCCUCCUUUCUUCUUUCUUUUCUCUUGGUUGGGCCACGAACCUCUAAGUUGGUUGGACCUGCAGCUAGCCAGGCUUGGUUAGGUCUGGUUGGGCCUAUUGUCAGGUUGCUUUUUUUUUUUGCCCUACUGAUGGCACAGAACAAUUAACUAGCUAUAGGUUUAACGUACUAUUGACCAUUGAUCUUUGAUGGCACUUGUCGCUGUCAUCUUAUUGUAGAUUAACAAAUUUCAUGAGGGUUCCAUUUGAAGACGAGUUAAUGAGUUGAUUGAUCUCUCUUGUUGGUAUUACUAUUAGUUUUCUUGUGAGGCUAAGAACAAGAAAUCUUACUAUAAGGGUUUGAUUUUUCGUUCUUUUUUUUAAAUAACAAUUCAACGCCAGGAUCAAAAUUUAGUUGUCCAAAACCAGUUCGAUGUUAGUGCAACAUCCCAUAAAGACUGAGAGAUUGUCAUUUUGAAACAGUUUUCAAACUCCAAAGAUAUAGCUCUGCCCAGGUCUCGAAAACAUGGUCGUGACAAGUACCAAUAAAAAGGUGAUACUCAUUACUAUAAAGUACUUUCUCUUAUUCAAACCUCUAAAAAAUACACACCCUUUCUGGUUAUAAAUAAUUUAUAGUAAAUGGGAAAUAUUGGUAAAGGUUACUCUAACUAUACAUACUUCGAUUCUUUCUAAGAAUGCCCGUUUCAUCUCCUUGCCAAAAUGUCUGUCAUAAAAAGGCAUUAAUGGAAAGUCAAAUAUGUGUUGCUGCUCAUAGCGACCCUCCAACGGUUUGUUAGGGUUAACAGUGCACCAUAAACAAUAGGAGGAGUUCACAUACAAUACUGGUCCCCUUAAAAACUGUCUGAAAGAGACCUAUGUCGCUAGCUUUCUAGCUAGCUUGUUAGGGCAAAAAAAAAAAAAAAAACAUCUUUCUAGGAUUAUUAGGCAAAACCUAAAGGGGACAAUGAAAGUGUUUGAGACAUGGAAAAUGGAAAGGCGACCUCACAGACGCAGUUUUCAACGAAGUUAAAAUUGAACCACAAAUAUUGUGUAAUUAAAAUGGCUUUCUAACUGGAUUAUGGAUGAGCUUAUCUUCCUUUAUAGCAUAGAUUUGCUUGCAACUUGUUAAUUAGUGGUAUAAUUAACCCAGCCUUGCCAGUGUGCAAGAAUCCCCCACUUCCCAUGCAUCUUUGAAAGCCAUCAGUCUGACCUUCAAAUUCAAGCAGUAAUUUGUUGAGGCGGCUUUGGAACCAUGUCCUGGUUUGGGUGAUUGGGACUUUUUUUUUGAAAAAAAUAGAUUUUUUUUUAAUUAUCCCAAAACCUGUUUGAACGAGUACAUAUAUAAUAUUAUCUCUGUCCUAAACGAGCAGUUUUUUAAUUUUGUUUUUAUCUCUAAGGGAAACGCAACAGUAUUCUACCAAACUUUCAUGGAAUUCCUUGGGUUGGAUCGGACGACCGAAUUGUUAGAUAGAAUAUACGAAUUUUUAUUCUCAUGUAUGUAUAGGAAUUAGGAAGUUGAUCAUGCAUGAGUUAUAUUUUAUUCUUAUAGGAAUUUUCAUUCAUGGAUAUACCUGAGUUAAUUAUUAUUUUUAAUCCAAACAUGCUUGAGAUAAUUAUUAUUUCAUUAUUUGCCUUGCUUUAAUUAGUAAGUUAUGAUAUGAAUUAGAAGGAAACUACCAUACGAGUAUCAUAUAGAUCACUUGCUUCAUAGAAAUCCAUGUCUACUUUCCGAGAUUUUUUAGGGUGAUAAUAUAGGUUUUGUACUUGACAUUUUGACGUAUAACACUUGAUUAACUCUCAUUGCCAAUAAUGACUUGCCAUGGGGAAAAAACCAUUAAUUCCAUUUUAGUCAAUCAGGAAUUUUCACAAUCCCAUCAUACUGCCUUCGACAAAUCAUACUUCUUCUUCUUCUUCUUGACCCCUAAAUUUCUUCCUAGUCUUCCUUCGGCCAUAAUCAACACUAGAAAAAAUCAAAAGGGUUUCGCCAUACGCAGUACUACCUAGAUUCUCCCUAGUUAAAAGAGACCCUAGAAUACACGUGUACACAGCUUGAUCUUAGCCAAAAAGAGAGAGAGAGAGAGGGAGAGACGUGUAAAGCCUAAUCUCCCCAAGACUUCGAUUAUUAUAAUAUAUAUUAAACAAAUGGAACACCAACUUAUUAGUUGGUGCACAUUGUUUUCGAUCUUAAACUAUAGCAAAGACUUGGUUUUUCCUUCUUCCAAAAACCCACCAACGUUGACGAGGUACCCGGAUUUCGUUGACGAUCAGUCAGCGAUAUGUCGUUGUUUUCCGUGCCUUUCAAUUUCAAUAAAGAAAGAAAAAAUGAUCCAAGUAGGAGUAUACGAUAAGAGCGUUAAGACAGAAAAUAAAACAACAAGAAAAUAAAAACAACAAGAAAAACAACGAGAACAUGCAUGACUUGGAGUUUGUUCAUUGUUCAGUCUUUUUCUGACAUGUUUCAUGCACUGGGCCACCACCAGUAAUCACGAGCUGCCCUUCCCUUCACCACCAUUUCUACCGAGCCCAACUCUGCUGUUUUAGCCGGGAUUUUAAAACAGGCCUUAUGCAAUUCACGUAGCGUGCAAGAUCAUCAAGGAUUGACAGUGAAAUGGUUCAAGCUCAUGGCUGAACUUAUUGAAGCAAACUUCGCUAGGUCUUGUGGUAAAAAUGGACGACUGGAUUCACUACUCAUACCCAGAAAAUCUCUUGUUAAACCACUCUCGAUAGAAUUUGAACCUCUUUGAUGCUUCAACUGAGUCUGGUCAUUUUGUAGUUUUCCACUUGUUUGCAUCAUAAGUUGAUCAAGGUUGCUUGAUGUACCCAUCAUUGCAUCACUCAUUGCUACAGUACUAUUUGUUGUUGUUAGGCUCUCGGCUGCAGUUUGCUUAACAUUUUGAAAGACUUGGUGUAGCUCGUUUGGAUUCUGGUUGAGAGAGAUGGGGUUUGUUGUAGGAGAAGAAGAAGAACAGUUCAUUAGUCCAUAAUUGUUGCCAAAGAAAGAUUGGUUGCUUCUUGUAGAACCCAUUUGAGCUGCCUUUUGCAGAAGUGCAGUGGCAGACAUAUUGGGCACUGCAGCUGGCUUUGAUUGCUUGUUCUGAAUACUAUCAGAAUACAAAGAAGCUGAUGUAUUCACCAUAUUGGCUUUACUACUACCUUCUUCCUUUAGCCCAUGAGGGAGUCCAGAUAAGGUUAAAUUCCCAAAAUUGGCGGUGGACGAUGAACCAUAGAGAUUGGCUGAUCCCAUUUGCACCAUUUCAGGCAAACCACUAGAACUCGAAGGCACGUAAAGAUUUAAAUUGGGACUAAUAGGUGAAGUGGCUUGAUUUAGCCACAGAGAAAGUCCAGGCUUUUGUUGAUCAGCACCAAGAGAAUUUCCUGGAGUCAUGCCACUGAAAUCAGGUCCAAAACCUGAAUUGAAUUGUGGAAUGCCUGCGAUAUCUGGAACUCCCGGCCGGUCAGGAAAUCCAUGAGGCAAAUCUACUGUAUCAUUUCUGAAAUUUAGAUUGGCUGCAGCUGGAACGGAAGUGAUUCUUGCACUUUCUUCAGCUAAGGCAUCGCAAAAGGCUCUGUGUGUGAUAAAGCUAUCUUUCCUGUUUUGGUAUAUAUUAGAAACCCCAAUUCAAAAUUUGAUCUAUCAGCACUUAUUAUGAUUACCUAGCAAGUAUAAUCAUAAAUGAAGUAUCAUUUAAUUCAAAAGAAAAAUCAAAGGGAUAACAUUUAUUUCAUCUGCUACGUAAUCAAUGACAGAAAAUCAAUAACCAAGUGUGUGUAGUAACAGUGUUAGUACCUGGAAAAUAAAGUCCCACAGUCACAUUUAUACUCUCUAGUCCCGCAAGUCUUGGAGUGAGCUUUCCAGUCUGAUUGAACUGCAUACUUCUUUGAACAUUUCUCACACUUCCACUUCUUCUCCCCAUGUUUUCUGCUAAAGUGCUUCUUUAUGCCAGUUAAGUCUCCGAGAGCUCUAGAUGGAUCGUGGUGAACGCAGGUCUUUUCUGGGCAAAUAUAGACCUUCUUUCGUACCUCUUUGUUGGUUCUUUGCUUUAGCUUCCAUGGAAGAUUGUGACCUCUUCGAUGAAGUUGCAAGUUUUGGUCUCUUUGAAAUCCUUUGUUGCAUAUUUCACAUAUAAACCGGUUUGUAGCCAUGAGAGACUUCGGAGAUAAAGCAAUAACCUCAGCAUCUGGAUCUGUGAAGACGACAUAGAAACAGUUUAUUUGACUACUAUUCAAUUUAAAGUAAGUUUUGUACAUACGCGAUAACUAACUAAGAGAUGAGGUACCAAGAAAAAUAAGAAAUUAAGCAUGCUACUUACCUGGUGUUCCUGGUAAAUUUCUUUUCCUCUUGGCCGCUUGAUUAGGAUUAGUUUUAGGGCUAGGGUUAGGGUUUGCAUUAUUCUGGUCUUGAGCAAACCCUGCUAUUGAAGAUGGUAGUGAGAAAGCAUCACCAGACAUCAUUUCUACUUAAAUUGAACCAAACACAACAACGCAACAAAGCUUUCGAAAAAGGAUAAAAACCGUAAGAAAACAAAAGAAAGCAAGAGUUUCUCCCAACACAAACAGCUAAGUGUUUAGUUUAUUCAAAUACUGACUUCACUCUUUAGCUAAUUCUGCCAAAAGACAAGAAAAACACAACUCAAGCUUGAAUCUAAACACCCCCUCCUAAAAAGAAAUAUAGUCCAAAUUAACUUCGGACUCUUGUUACAGAGAUCUGGUUUGCCUUUGUUUGAUUUCAAAAGAAAAGACCAAAAACCAUUGAGUAAAGAGAAUAUCUCUCUCUCUUAUUAUCUUGGCCUUACUCGUCCCCCCCCUUUUUUUUUUAUCUUGCUGAAAGUCGGUCAGCCAUAUAUUUUUCAAUAAUGGGCCACACCUCUCUCCCUCACACACACACAGGACACAUCGGUACCACACGCACGAUGGUAAAUGGUAAAAAAAGAGAGGUGUAUCUAUAUAUACACACGAGAGAAAGAGAGAGUAUAUGAGCUACUUUGUAUAAUAAGAAUGUGUAGGAUUGCGUCUCUCUUUGUAGCCUUUAGAGCUCAAACUCGAAUUAUCAGCAGGAAAAGAAAAGGUAACUGCAAGAGUAAAAGAAUGAUUGGGGAUAAAAUAGUAGAAACAAGGAAGAGUAGCAUUAACUAAAAGCAAGGUGAUGCAUGGGUGCAUGAAAAGUAAAAUAAAAAGGUAAUUGAUGGGAUUGUUUGUUUUACUUAAGGAUGAUAUGAUAUUGAUGAUCUGAUGAAAAGGAAAGAUUGAAAAGUUGUUUGCCUUUACAGUCCAUGAACAAGUAUAGAAAUGAUUAUACUAUAAUUAAAGUUUAAGACCCCAGUUUAGCAUACAGUGGCUAGAUAGCAGAGAGUCAGAGAUAGUGCAGUAUAUGUUUGGUGAAAGAGAAAGAGAGAAGGUUAGUUACGUUUCCCUAGGCAUUGCCAUUGAUAGGACCGUCCGUGAUACACUGUCUCACUGCAGGAGUGUGACUGUGGGGGCCAAAGCUCCUGUGAUUCUGAUAUCGUCGUCGUCAUCAUCGUCAUCUUCUUCUUCUUCAAUUAAUCAUCCCAAGAAGUUUGAGUGCAUGUGGGUACAAUAUAAAUGCUUACUUCACUGUUUUAACUGAGGUUGAUGCUGAUACCAUUCCACCAGCCUGUUAAUUAAUUAAUUUGUUACUUUAUACAUCGAGAUUGCUGGAUAUGUUGAAUGUUCUCUUGCACCUCGGUAAAAUUAUUUGUUUGUAAAAUGAUUUGAUAUGUAAUUAAGGCGGUUUAAUUUGAUAAAUGGGAGGAGUACUACUGUAUGUAGUCGAGGAAUCAAAAGUUAUUUUGCUCAUUAUUUGUCGCAUUUUAUUGAAAUGCUAGAACGUCCAGUGCUUCCCAUUUUAGUGGUCAAAAGAAGCAACUUACUUUUUAAGAUGAUAAUACAUUUGCCCAAGAUUGAAAAGCUUUUCUCCAUCCUAUUAUAAAUAAAGCUGCAUUUUCCCUUCUUUCUAAAAAACAAAAGACAAAAAUUUUAAUCUUUAUUAAAUGAGAAUUUAUUUGUUUUCAUGCGUAAAAGAUAUCCCUUAAGUACAUAUUUAAACGUCAAUCUCCAUUUUUCUAACGAAAGAGAUGCCAUUUCCUCUCUUCUUACUUUUUAGGAUAUGUUUGGUUGGAUAUAAUGAGUCCAUUAUAUUCUUAUAUUUAGUUGUGUAACUUUUAAAAAUUUAAUAUAAUGGACCAUUACAAUAUUACAGAAUAUGCUUGUAAUGUAAUGAGUUGUCACAAAAUAUAUAUAUAUAUAUAUAUAUAUAUAUAUAUAUAUAUAUAUAUAUAUAUAUAUAUAUAUAUAUAAAAGGUGUGCAAUGCAUCAUUACAGGAGUAUCACUACCAGAAAAUUGACAAAUAAUAACAAAAACUCUGAUGGAUAAUAUUUUGUGGCUACUUUCCGACAGAAAUAGCGACAAAGAAAUUCUAUUGAAAAUUUCUGAUGUAAAUAACAACAAAAUACGUUCUGUAGAUAAUUUAUGAUAAAAUUACAGAUGGAAUAAAUAAAUAAUUCAUCGACAAUUCCAUCGGAAUGUUGACAAGUCAUUAUUUAUCAAUGGAAUUGCUGAAAAAAUAAUUCUAUUGACAAAUGUAAAUAAGUUAUAACUGACAGUUACAUCCCUUCUAGGUAGUCUAGGUUUUUGCUUGUACGUUGGUCUGAUUUCUUCUUUGUAUCUUAUAUCUUGUAUUCCCCUGUUAUUGUUUUGUUCUUGUUUAGUUGGCGUUUGCUUCAUUGCAAGAGGUCUUGUGUUUGUGGUUCUUUUUCGGCUAAGUGCCCUUAUAAUUUUGGGGUGCAGUUUUUGGAUGGUCUUUUUUCUUUUGAUAGAGGUGUUAUUGUUCCUGUUUUUCUCACGUUGCUGGUUUUUCCUUGUUUGCUCGCUGCUUCCUUGGGUGUAGUCCCUCUCUUGCGGCUUCUCUGUUUCUCUUUUGGUUUUUGAUGCUCUUGCAGUUCUUGCAGCUCUGGGGCUUUAGGCUUCAGGCUUCAGGUUGCUUUUUUUCUUCAUCUACUCUUGUUAGGCUUUUGGAUCUUGUUUUUACUUUUCCUAGUUCUUUCGCUAUGGCUAUAACCUAUGUAGUUAAAGCCUUUGUUUAGGUCCCGAUUCAUUUAUAAACUCUUGAUUUUUUUUUUAAAUCCCUCUUACUCUUUUUUUUUCUACCUCCUACAAGAAAAAUACGAGUAGCCCCCUAUUUUCUCACUAAUUCAGCUACCCCAAACCCCCAACGUAGAUAUGCAUCUAUCAGUAGUGUCAACAACCAUCAUUGUAUUUUUUUUGUGAAGCUUUGAUACACAAAGUAAGCAAACUCACCUAUUUUUUUAUAAUUCAUUUAAGUUUUAGGUUGAUUUAUUGAAUGUUUUAGUAGUAUUUGUACUUUGCUUGUAUAUUUAAGUGUUUUAUAGCUUUUUUCUAGAUAAUUUUUUUGUAUUAAUGUAUGAUUUGUAUGUUAAGGUUUGUUUAGGAUUUAAGGGAAAUUGAAUUUUGUUGUCAUUUGAUGAAAUUGAGUUUGAUUUUGUAACUUAUAUAAGUUAUAAUUAAAGAAAUAAUGAGUUAUUUUAAUGGAUAACAAUCACAUUUUGUCAAUUUGAUUAUUAAGUUGAAGAUUUAGGGGAAAUUGAUUUUUUAUGGAAUUGAUAAAAUCAAUAUUAUUCUUUUAUGUUUCAUAAGUAAUGAAUGAUCGCUCUUGGAUGUAUCGAGAUUUACCCGAAAGGUUCUAUAGACAAGAUUAUCUUCAAGAGGUUGAGAGUUUUACUAAUUUUGUACUUUCUAAAUUGAAGAAUAUUAGUGCAGGCAAAAUUAAUAUCCAUGCAUGAAGAGUAAAAAUAAAAAGUUUAACCAUAAAGAUGUUAUUAUCAUGCAUCUACUUAAAAAAAAGAUUCAUCAAGAAAUACUUAUAUAGGUUUGCAUAAGGAAAACCCUAUGUUCCUUAUGAAACCAUGUUAGAAAAGAUGGUUGGCUCAACGUCUAAUUUUCACAACAUAUAUAGGUUUGUGGAUAAUAAUAUUAAUCAUUAUUGGAGUAUGGUGAUGAAUGUAUUGGAGUAUGGUGAUGAAUGUAAUGGAAAUGGAUUAUGAUUAUUCAAGUGAAGGUUCAUGUAACAUCUUUUUAAAUGAAGAAUCAAAUGUAGAUGCAUCUAGAUUUUUUAAACUUUUAAAAGAUUUUGAUAGGAUGGUGUAUAACUCAAAAUAAAUUAUUGACCAUUGCACGAGUGUUUAACAUCAAGUUAGAUUAUGGGUUGAGUGAAGCCAAUUAUAAUAACACCAUUGAUUAGGCUAAAAACAUGUUACCUUAAAGGAAUAAGUUGAAAAAGAACUUCUAUAUUGAAAAAUCCAUGAUGAAACCUCUUGGUCUAGGGUAUCAAAAAAUUGAUACGUGUCCAAGAUUUUUCAUGUUGUAAUACAAUGAAUGUACAAAACUUGUCAGCGUGCUCAGUAUAAACUCAAUAAAGGUAGAGGAAUGACAUUUGUCACAUAAAAAACUGAAAUACUUCUCAAUCACUCCUAGAUUAUAACAUUUAUUUAUGUCUUUAAAGUCUGCUAAGAACAUAGCAUGACAUCAUUCAAAUGAUAUAGUGGAUGAAGUCAUGAUGCUCUAUUUUGAUAGUGAAGCUUGAAAUUUAAUAAUGUGUAUUCUUAAUCUUCAAUGGAACUACGAAAUGUACAUCUUGGCUUGUGUACAUAUAGAUUAAUCAAUUUGGAUCCUUUAUUGCACCUUAUUCAUAUUGGUCGGUCAUACUAACAAUUUAUAACUUGCCUUUUAGGGAUGUGUAUAAAGUUAAAAUUCAUGUUAUUAUCUAUGGUAUAUCUGCUCCUUACAUUUCAUGUAGGAAUAUAGAUGUUUGUCUUUGAUCGUUGAUUGAUGAGUUGAAUUAGUUAUGGUUAGUCGAGGCUUUGACAUAUGAUGCCUCAAGAAAAAAAAAAUUUAAGAUGAAAACAACAUUGAUAUGGAAUAUAAGUCAUUUUCCUGUGUAUGUGAUGAUUUCAGAUUGGAGCAUAUAUGAAAAGUUUAUUUGUCUAUACUGUAUAAAAAAUAAUAAGGCCUUUACCUUAAUAAAUGAUGAUAAAGCUUCAUUUUUUGGUUGCUAUCGGAGGUUCUUACUAAGUCAUUAUCGAUAUAGAAACAAUAAAAAUGACUUCCUAGAAUGUAAAUUUGAAAGGGAUGUUACACCAUUAAUACUGUUGGGUGAAGAAUUAUAUGACAUGGUUUCACAUUAUGAAGACAUUGUAUUUGAUUUCCAUUCUGGUAAAUAAAAGUUUUCUAGUUUUGGUGUAACUUAUAAUUGGGUAAAGCGUAGUAUAUUUUAGGAUCUUUCUUAUUGCAAGAUUUAUGCCAUCCAUAAAAAUUUAGAUAUCAUGUAUAUCAAGAAGAAUAUGUUUGAUAAUAUUUUUAACACGGUUAUGGACGUAAAAUGAAAAAUAAAAUACAAUAUAAAAGCAAUAAUAGAUCUAGCUUUAUAUUAUGAUUGUCAAAAUAUAGAGUUGCUUAAUGAUGACUUAUGUGUUGUAAAGCUCAAAGCCACAUUUUCCUUUGACAAUGAUGCAUAGUUUCUUAUCUACGAAUGAAUUAAGAGACUAUGAUUUUCUAAUGGAUAUGCUUCAAACAUAGUUAGAUUGGUAAGUUUAGGAGAAUGUAUAAUGUAUAGAAUGAAGAGUCAUGAUUGUCAUGUGUUUAUGUAAACACUCAUUCCAAUUAUUGAUAAGGAUUUAUUACCAAAAAAGGUAUAGGAUAUACUAAUAGAGAUUAGUCACCUUUUUAUAGAUAUUUAUUCGAGCAAGUUACAUACCUACCACAUGGAGCAAUUUGAAACAAAUAUUAUUAAUACAAUCUGCAAAUUUAAAAUGAGUUUUUUUCCCUUCUUUAACUCAAUAAAGCAUUUGCCUAUACAUUUAUCGUAUAAGGCAAAAUUUAGACGGCCUAUAUAAUACAGAUGGAUGUAUCAAUUUAAAAGGUUAGGGAUUGCAUGCAUUAUAAGUAAUUGUCCAUUGUCUUUUUGUAAACAUUCAGUUAUCUCUAAUUACUUACAUGUAAAUACUUAUUCAACCUUAAAAAAAACAAAAAAAAAUGCAUGUGUUAAGUCUACAACAUGUAAGACUUAUAUUGUUAAAUUUUUUUAAACAUUUACCUCAUUUUAUUUUGAGCCUUAUUUGAGAACAAGAACCAACUGUAUUUUAUAACAUGAUAAUGGUGGUGAACCACCUUCAAGGAAAAAUUUGUCAAUAUUUUGCCAUCCUAAACAACCAUUAUCAAAUAAAGUAGUAAAGAGAAGAAAUUUAAUAGACAUUGAAUUCAAACAAGUACAUAAUUAUAUGUUAUUCAACUGUAAUGAAUUGAAACCUUUUAUUUGAUAAGUCAAUUUUUACAAUUAUAUAGUUUUAAACCUUUUUUGCUUAUAACUCAUAUAGAUUCAAUCCUGUAACUUUCUUAUAGGUAACAUCAUCAAUUAUUGUUAUCCUAAAAUUCAAAUGCUAUUAAAGCUUAAAAUUUUCAAUUACAAGAUGAACAAUUUGUAAAUAUUUAAGUAUUCAAUAAUUUAUAAAUACUAAUAAUAGAUUUAAUUGUAUUUUUCUUGGAUUGUUAAUGCUUGUUAAUUAACUUUAACUAUGUUUUUAACAUGAGAGGCAACACUGAUAGAUUGAGAUUCCUAUCUUUGGGUCUUGAAAAAAAAGUUCAGUGUUAUAAUGAAUUUUUCAUUAAUGAAUAUGUAUUUCAUACUGAAAAGUAUGGUGAUGAAAAAAAGACAUACAAUAGUGAGGUUUGUGUAAAUGUUCAACUUCCAAUGAGUUGAAAGUUAAUUAUUAUGCCAAGUUACUAAAGGUUAUUGAAUUGCGAUAUCACAGUGAACAAUAUAUAUUGGUUUUAUUCAAAUAUUAUUGGUAUGAUAUCAAUAGAUAAAUUAGAGUAGAUCCUCACUAUGGUAUGAUCAAAAUAAAUAAAAGAGGUCCACUUUGCAAUAUCAAUGAUGUUUUUGUUUUUAUCAAACAAUGUCAAUAAGUGUAUUAUACAUACAUUCUUUUCUUUAAAAAAGAUCACAAUAAAGUCGAUUGGUUAUCUGUUGUGAAAACCAAACCGAUAAGUCAUGUCUAAGUUGAAGUUGUUGAACAUGGUAACAAUGAAGUAAAUGAAGGGAGACAAUGUAUUUCAAAUGGAUGAGCUAAUUGAUUCAUAUCGAGUUGUUUCAUCUACUAAGUUAAAUAAUCCAAAUUUUCAUGUCACUGAAAAUAUUUAUGUUGAUGUUAAUGAGUUAAAUAUAAUGUUGAGUACUAGUGGACAUAGAAAAGAAGGUGAAGAUUAUGAGAUUGACCAACUUGAAUUCAACGAAGAUGAUGAUGAAAAUUACAAGAAGGAUUAUGAUUAAAAAGUGUUGCAUUGAUUUAAAUGUAAAACAAUCAUUAUAUAAUAAAAUUAACAUUGAAUAACACAUUUGUUGCAACUUUCUAAUGCAUUAUAUUUUUUACAUUUUUAAAGUGUAUUUUUUUUAUUUUGUAGUUGUGGUUUAAUGUUGGCAAAUAUUUACAUUUCAUCAAAUAUUGCCGAUGACAUUGACGAUGGACAUGCAAUUUAAUUGGAGAAUUACAACAGGUUUAGUGUAAUGGUGAUGGAAUUGUCGACAAACAUGGAAUUUCAUCAAAACAAUUAUAGUAAGUUUAUGAAAUGGUGAUGAAAUUGUUGAUGGACAUGCAAUUUCAUCAGGAAAUUACAAUAGGUUAGAGAAACGGUGAUGGAAUUGUUGAUGGAAUUAAAAAUAUUAAAAAAAUAAUUGAAUUUUUGUUGGUAAUUUUAUCGGUAUUUGUUGACAUGUCAAUAUGCUGAUGGAAUUUUCAUUAGCAAAUCCAGGUAUUAACCUAACAAUUCCCCUUUUUCUCCCUAUUUUAUCUCAGCUACUCAAAAUAAACAAAAUGUCACUGCCCUUCUCUCUCCCUGCCACCCCCAGCGUCUUCUUCUUCUUCUUCUCUCUCUCUCUCUCUGCUAGCCAGCUUUCACCACCACCCAACCCCUUUUUCUCGUAGUCGCCUAGCCCAUCUCUCUCUCAAAAUCUUCAAGGGUAAGUUUCUUAAUCCCUACAAAGUCAUUUCUUGUUUUAUCUUUUUAUGAUGGUUUGUGUUUAGGGUGUUUAGUUUCAGAGUGGGUUUGGUGUUUUGGGUUCUUAUUUUUAGUGUUGUGGUAUUUGUUUUGUGUGUUAAUAGAAUAGAAAAUUUUGAUUAUUGAUUGGGUUAUCAAUUUUGAUUGUUGAUUAUUUUAUUUGAUAAGAGAUUUAUGUUGUUAGUGGUUGCUGAUUUUAGAAAUGAAGGGUUGUUAAUGGUUGUAAAUUGAUUUUUUAUAAGGGAUUUGUGCUAUUAAUGUUUGUAUGUAUGUACAUUAAAUCGCUCCUAGCAUAUAAAAAUUACACCCAUAUUUCUCUUUAUGGAAACCCUAUGUUUUAUAUGUUUAUUAGUUGUUGUCUUGUAUUUUGCAUAAUUAGUAUUUUCAAACUUUUUCUAAGCUUGAGCUUGUAUUGUUUGAACUUGUUCGGUCCUAUUCUUUACAAUAUUAUUGAACCUGAAAUUAACUUGUGUUAUAUUUCAGAGAUGUUAAGAAAGAAGUUUAAAUAGAGCUAUUGUUACUUCCAGUUCAACCAACAGUAGUGUUGGUGAUGUCGGUGAUCAUGUUUUUAAUUUAGGUGUCAAACAUGAAGAGACAUCUAAUGCACAUGAUACCAAUCAAGGCUUGUUCACUUCAGGUAGCAAAGGUGGAAUCCCAUUUUCAAGAGAUCCAUAUCCUGAUAAAAUUAUUGCAAAAUAGAAGAUCGACCACUCAAUAUAAGUUAUGUAUUGAGGUUAUUUAUUUUGAUUGGGUUAUUUUAAGAUUUACAUUAAAUAAAAAUGAUUGACUUUAUAUGAAUUUGUUUUGCAGGUUUACAUAAAUUGAAGUUGAAUGUUAUACCACAAGUGUAAUGAAAUCAUUGUUCAAGGAACCACAUUUUCAAUGGAACCAACUUCAAGAUCAUCUGAAUGGAUGAAUAUGUAGAUAUUUGUUGGGGAUUGUUUAAGGUAAGAUAAUAUAUAUAUACUUUUUUAUUUCAAAAAUCUAAUUAAUGUACAAAUUAACAAUGUUAGGGAAAUUAUGGUGGAAAAGGAAAAUGAAGGGGUGGUCAGGAAAGUGUGGAAAAACCACAAUGCAAUUAAAUAUCAAACAAUUGACAAAUUUUAUAUUUGAAAUUAUAACCUUAAAUUUUCAAAUCACAUGUAUAUUUAACAAAAACAUUGUACCCUAAUGCAUGGUUUGUGAUUGAUGCCUAUAAAUAUACAAAAAAUCAAGCUGACUCCGAUGAUGUUGAUGCAUGAAUAAAGUAUAAACUGAGUCAUGUCAUAGAGGAUAUUAGGGCAAAAUUUGAAGAAUUUAAAUGGCGUUCGCGAUUCAAGUCACAGACCAAAACAAAGAAACAAAUGGUUUGGUGAGCAAGAACAUCGGUGGAUCGCUCUUAUUUGUCAACCAUGCUCCUGACAACAAUUUUCAAAUUAUGUAUUCUUCAAUAUUUUAAUUUACUAUUUAUUUGUUAGACUUUUUAACAAUUUAUUUAUUUUGCAUCAGUAACAAUUUGGGUGCAAGCCUACUCUGAUAGAAUUAUAUGAGGAAACUCAUAUAAGAAAAAUAAAUAGGGGAACAAUGGUGAAGAAGUUUGUAGAUAGUAGAGAAUAUAUAAGCAUUCGUUGUAAGUCUUUGUUUUUAAUUCUUGUAUUUUUUUUAAUUAUAAUGGACUUGUUUUUUUUCUUUGUUUUGUAGAAAACAUUUAAUGCCACAAUAUUUGAAAAAUAUAAAGAAGAUGUUUCCUCCCAUCCUCCUCACGAUCCUCAGUUGCGGUUGGAGUAACAAAUAGACCCGAUAGGAAUCAGGUUUAUGGAAUGCCUAUAAAAUCAGCUAGAAAAAUAAGGUCGAGCCAUAUUGCUUCUACUCUAAGCACACAACAGUCCAACCCAAACUAGUUGAUGCUGAAAUUUGAAGCGAAUGUCCUAAAACAGGUUAAAGAGUGAAUAACCAAAUUAGAAGAAGAAAUGAAAGCCAUAUUAGAAGAAGAUAAUAGAAAGAAUUGAGAGAAAAUGAUGGAAUAUAUGGUUUCACAUUAUCCUACUCCUCAUACUGGUCAUUUUGUCUCAAGAUUUCCCCCUCCACCCCCACCUUUAUCCGUGUAGCGUUAUAUUUAUUGUUGUAAAAUUAUUUUUGAAUGAAUAUUAAAAUUAAUAAAAUCUUGAUGUUCAAUAAAAUUGAUAGUGUUUGGUUUUAUUUUGAUAUUUGUUAUUUUUGUAAUUAACAACUACAUAACUAAAAUAAAAUUACUUAACUUUUGACGAAAUCAUUGAUGGAAAAAAAAAAGUUCAUUGGUGUUUCCAUCGGCAAUAUGGGUGUCAUUUCAUUAAAAAGUUAUAGAAUGGUUUAGAACUCUUAGAUAGAAGUAGCGAUGUAAAUUCAAUCGACAAUAUUCCAUUGUAGAUACCGUCAACAACAUUUAGUUUUUUUCAACAGAACAAGCGGCAAAAUAUUUCAUCGAUAAUUUAUUUACCGAUGGAAUUGUUGAUAGAAACUGGUCGGUGUAUUUUAUUUUCUAGCACCAAUAUUCUACCGACAUUUCUGUUGACAUUACCAAUUAUUGAUAAAAAUAACGACGGAUAGCAAAUCUCUGAUAAAAAUUUGUUCAACAUAUUUUCGUUGUUAAAUUUGUCAAUGAUAUAAAUUGCUGAUGGAAUAGUGUUUACUCUCCAAUGGAAUAUUUUGUUUUUCUUUUUUAAUUUUCUAGUAGUGUAUUAGCAAUCAUAUUAGGAUUUAAUUAUAAUUUUUUUUUAUCAUAAUCACUAAACUAUAAUUUUUUUUUAAAAAAGAUAAAAAUGUUUUUAAAAAGACUGCUUUAUAAACAAAAAUAAAAUAUAGGGACUAACCUAAUUGCUUUGGAAAAUCCAAGGAAUGAAGUAAAAUUUUGUAAAAUGCUUCUAUUACAUUGCUAUGAAUAUUUAUAAUCAACCAUUCCAAUACAUUUCUUAUUAUAUUACACAAUUAAUUAUAUUAUAUUAUAAUGCAUUACACGGUAUUAAACAUGUCAUUAAUUUCUAGACCCAUCCCUUAGCUGGUACAAUAAAGGUAUUCUUCAAUUAUAUUUUAAAGUAAUUGUUGUUGUUGUUGAAUGUUAUGUCCUAUCUGAUAGCCAACCAAUGUUAAACACAUGGACAUCCCCUUGCAGUAUAAUAUGAUUCCUGAUUUCACUUAAUUUCCAAUCUACAUAUAUUUCCUAGCUUUACCUAACCAUAGGUAUAUUAUAUAUGACAAGUACAAAUUGCUUUUGUUCUUGAUUUUUGGUUGCCAAAAGAUUUCUUCAAGAAUAAUCUUAAUAUUCAUUAGUAGUAAGUUAAAAUUUUUUUUAAUAAAAAUUAAGUAUAAGAUAAUAUUAGUUUGUAUAAGUUUUAAGUUUAAAAAAUUUUCAUUAAAAAUAUAUGUUAUAAAAUAAUAUAAAUUAUAGUAAAUCUGGAUAUAUAUUCAAUUAGCUCGGACCACGUGAUUUUCUAAUGCUUGGCAAAGCUAAAACUUCGAAGUACAGUUUAUAAUGUGAAAAAUCUAGCAAACAUCUGUACGUAAACACCAUCAUCACGUGCAUUUUCAUUCGGCAUGUACUCUAUAAAUAGUACACAGCUAAUUUCAACAAUUAUUUAAUUACCCAUAUAGUUUUUUUUUUCUUUUCAAACUGGUUUAAUUCUAUAAAAAAAGAGAGAAGAACUUUGGAGAAAAAUCAGCGUUCGUUAAAAAGAAAAGGGCAAAAAAACAUUCAUUCUACCCUGUAGAGGCAGAAUGAUUAUAUUUACCCUUUAGAGGGCGGGCAUUUUCAUGUUUUUCUUUAUUAUUAUUAUUAUUGAUAUGUCAAUUUAACUUGAUUAGAAAUUAAACUCGAACAUUAACUGGAGCUAUAGAUGAAAUAAAGGUUCAAACGCUUGUCAGAAGCACCCCACAUGCUUGAUAUUGCUUGAUAUUGAUGUCUUAAUCUGAACUGACUUUGAGCAGACUCAUUGUUUCGUUUUUCAUGAUUCAAUAAUACUGACGAGGAUGAUAAGAUUAAUUCAGAACAAAUUAUUUUAUGUUCCUGUGUUUUGGCCCCAUGCAUACGGAGUUUCCUUCAAAGCCAUUGAUGCUUCCUCCAUCCUCAUUCCCCAUUUUGGCAUCCAAAGCUCUCUCUCUCUCUCUCUCUCUCUAGACACACACACACACUCACCAAAAUAUAUUCCUAGCUACUACACAUGCUAAAGUCUGAACUGAGAACAAAACACCAUGUGUUAGUUGGCAAUAUAUACGAAUAAAAUUAAGGCAAGCUAAUUCCAAGGUGAUCAGGAAGAGAAUGAGUUUAUGACUUGAUAUAUUAAUUAUGUGGGCAACCAGAUACGAAAUUUUCAGCAUCUACCCAUUGCGUACAGGCGUAUAUAGCCCUUCGUAAUGCACGUAGAGAAUGGCCCGCCCUCUUUUCUUUAUUCUCUAAUCUCCUCCUCGGUUUUGUCUACGAAUAUUAAAAUUAAUAAAAUAUUAUUUAAAGAAAUCUUGAACUACGGGGAUUUGUUGAAGAAAAGUGUCUUUGGAUUAUUGUGCUCUUUGGGCCGAGGGUUUUAGGUAAUCUAGAAUCACCGCAAAACACUCCAAUAAUGAAACUCUACAUCGUAAUGUUGUUGUUGUUGUUGUUAUAUUAUUAUUAUUUUGGCUUAGUGGUAUUCUCAAAUAAGUUUGCACAUUAAUUAAGAUUAUAUUUAUAUAUAUAUUUUUUAAUAAUCUUAAGAACAUAUCCCCAUCCAAGUACGAUUUAUAAUACAGUCAAGAGAAUAACUUUUAUUUCAUGUUUGUUUCAAUAUUUAAACUUAAGAAGUCGAGAAAUUAAUAGCAAAUCUUCUUGAUCACUUCACCUAUAUAUCUCGUAAAAGCUAGUAUGUUAAUGUAUUUUUACUAUUAAUAUGAAAGGCUAUGGGUUUUCACUAAAUAACAAUGUUGGUUUAUAUUGUCUAAUUAAUUGAGCUAAUUAACAUGCUAGUUUAAUCUCUUAAAGUUUAAUAGAUGAUUAGUACUAUUUCAUAUAGUUAUUGAUUUUAAAAUUAAUUUAACUAUUUAAUUUAAUUAAUCACAUAAUAUUUAUACUAAAUAUAAGUCUCUUUCCAUUUAAAUCUAACUUAUUAUGGGUGUUAAAAAAGAUUCUAAAUUUAUAUAAUCCCACACAAGUCAAAACAACUCUAGUUUGUUUGUUUUUUUUAAAACAAAAACAAGAUUCAUUGCUAAAUUUCUUUAUCCAAAAAUCUUAACUAGUCACUUUUUUCAAGAUUCACUACCAGAAUUAUGCAUCUUAUUGAUGAAAUAUUUUAUCCAUAUUUAGACAUUGAUUAUGCCAGAAAUAAUUUUACCAAUAAAAUCAAAGAAGGUUAUUGUUUGUCGAAAAACUUAUCAUCGAUGAUUUCUAUUAUGUCGGUUAUUUUUUAGUAAUAAAAUCAUUGAUGGAUUUACAAACGAAAAAAACACGUCAAACACAAAAACAUUUACCGGCAUGAUUCUGUCGGUAUUUUCUUCGAUAAGUACGACAUAUCACUAAAAAAAAACUGUUUGUAAUUACAUUGAUGAUUUAUUUCAAAAAAAGAAGAAGAAUUGAUUUCCAAAGAUUGCUUGAUUUAAAUGUAUUCUGGGCUAAAAUGAAUUAGUUAGAAAUAAGUGGAUUAAAUUGAAUUAACAUGGGACUAAAUUGAAUCAAAUUAAUUCAAUUGGACUAAAUUGGAAUAAAUUGGACUGAAUUGACUGAAUUAAAACAAAUAGGAUUGAAAUGAAGUAAUGUAAAUGGAUUAAUUGGUCCUUGGAAUUUUUCUUCCUUGUUUUUUUUGAAUUUGAUUCAAUUAAGAUGUUUAAUUUUGAAAUUUCUUUCAAUUUAAGCUCCAUAUUGAAUUAAUUGAUUUUUCCAAUUUUGAUUUAGUCCUUAGUUUCCCUAAAAAUCCUUAAUCUAUUUUUUUUUAGUGUCCCUAAUUGAAUCAAUUUAUUCCUCGAGAUUUGUUGCAAAAUCAUCCUUGGUUCUUCCAAUCUUUAUUUUUAAACCAAAUUGACUCCUAAUUUCAAGUUGCUUUUUUAAUUAGGUUCUUAAUUGACUUUUAACUUGGCUUUUUUUUUCAAAAUCAUCCUUGAACUUCAAGUUUCUUUCAUUCUUAGCAAAAUUAAAUCAAAUUAAGCCAUUUUCUAAAUUUUCUCUUCAAUUAUGACCCAAAUGUUUUUCCUAAACCUCAUUUUUUCCCUAUGAUACUUGAUUAUUAGUGCAAUUUCAAACCCCAACUAUUUUUUUUUAUUUUUUUUGCAUUUUGUAUAUUUUAUUAUUUUCAAGAUUUUUUGACACAAAAAAAAUGAAGAAAAUGAUGAAAUGAUUAAAAUUACUGAAAAAAGCAGCUUAUUUUUUAUUUUAUUUUUUCUAAAAAUAGGUGAGGUCAAAAUUAGUUUAUAACAAGGAUCUAUUAUGAUUAUUCUAUCAAUGAUAUCUUACCAAUAAAAUUUGAAUAAAUAAACUCAAUCACAUCUUCUAACUUCCUACAUAAUCAACUUCAAACUCAUUAUAAGUUGAUCAUCACUUAACACAAAAUCCAUUGUUAUAUAUCUUUUUACCCUAACCAUACUCUUUAGUAUGAAAAAAUUUUCUAUUGAUAAAAUACCUAUUAGAGCACUUUACCUUUCUUUCAAGAUCCAAACAUAGUAAAUUCAAACUGCCACUAGUAUUCCUUUCCAAUUGAUAAACUUAGUAUAUGAUUAUAACCAUUAACAGUUAAAAAGAAAGGUGUAAUCAAAUUAAAUAUUACGAGACAUAAGAAUUAUUAAGAGAAAGGUGUAUUCUGAACCACGUUGUAAAUUGUUCAUCUUGUAACUGGAAAAUUUAGAUUUAGUAAGAUUUGAAUUUUGAGAUAGUGAAAAUUGAUGAUGUUGUCUAUAAUGAAGUAUUUAAUGUAUUAGUUUAUGAGAGUAUAAGAGACAAAUUAUUUGAAAAUAACAACAUUUAAAUAUUUUACGUACUGAAUAAAAUAUCUCAAUUCAUUGUAGUUAAAUAGCACAUAAUUAUAUACAUGUCUAAACUCGAUUUCUGUCAAGUGUCUUCCCCCUCACUGCAUUUUUUGAUACAGGUCAUCCAUGAUUGGAAAGUAUUGACAAAUUUAUACUUAAAGGUAGUUCCCUGCUAUCAUCGUGUUUUGGAAUGCGACUUAUUCUUGUUCUCAAGUGAGGGUCAAAAUUAUACAAAAUAAAUGCUGAGAUUUCUUCCACAAUAUAAGCCUUGUAUAUCAAAGCCUCAAUAUGCUCUUUUUUUAAGCUGAACAAGUAUCCGAAUGAAAUUAAAUGAAUUUCUAAAAUUAAAAAAAAAAGACAAUAGAAAUUUAAUUAGGAUGAAUGUGUAAUACCUAACCUCUCAAAUGAAUACAUCUAUCUAUACUGGAUAAGGCCUCAAGCUUUUUCCUUGUAUGGUAGAUAUAUGGGUAGAUGUUUUAUUGAAUUGAAAAAUGAUGGAGGGAAUAUAUCUCAAGUUUAUAGAUUGUCUAGAUGAUAUUUGUUUCAAGCUUCUCCAUGUGUUGGGUAUGUAACUUGUUAGAGUAUAUAUUUCUAAAAAAAUGACUAAUCUCUGUGAAGACAUUUCAUAUCUCUUUUGGCAAUAAAUCUCGGUAAACAAGUGGAAUGAGUGUUUGCAUAAAUAUAUGAUAAUCACGGCUCUUCAUUCCAUACAAUCUAUCAUUCUCUAAAUUCAUCAAUCUAGAUAUGUCCAAAACGAUUAUUGAUAAAUAAAAUUUUUUGUUGGUGUAUACUAAGGGACAUAGCGAUGAAAUAUUUUGUUAGUAUAUUUCACUGUAAUUUAUAGAUGAAAUUAUUUUUGUCAGUAUUUUCAUUUGUAUUUGCUAAUUUUUUGGUAGUGAUUAUUGAUAAAGAAAGGAUGUCUUGAAAUGAUUCAAAAAGUUCUCUAAAGCUUUUUGAUAGAUAAAUUUCUUAUCUUUCUAGGUUUGUACACCUAAAAUCAUAUAGUUUUGCUUUGAUCUAUUACUUGACAUUUUAUAUAUCUUGAUCUUAAUUUUAAUGGUUCUAUUGAUGGAAAAUUGAGAGAGAGAUUAGUUCUUUUUCUUUUUUUCUUUUCCUUUAUAAUCUAGGGAGAUGAGAGGGACAUAUUUUUAUCUUUAUAAGAUAUGCAUUUAAGAUAUAAAAAGAAAUAGAGUUUGCUAAUUUGAAUUAUAAAAGGAAGUCAAUUUAGUUAACUAAGAGAAAAUAUUAAAUUAAUAUGUUACAUUAUGUUAGCCUAAACUUGAAAGGAGUCCGGUCAAAUAUUUUUGUACUAGCUUAGAUUUAAUUAUACAAAUUUAAGCAAAUGCCAUCACGUUCUAAAACUUAAUUAAAUAAUGUUUCUCCUAAAAGAAAAACCAAUAAUCAAAAUUUGAGGAAGAAAGAUAUACAAAUAAACUUUUUAUAUAAAAAUCUUCUUACGUCCAAACAUAUGUGAUCGAUAUUCUUUCUCAUGAAAGACCAAUCAUUUAAAAUAAAUGGGACUCAUAUUUACACCUUAUAGCUUAUAAAUUGACAUGUCAAUUUAUAUGAAUUAAUAUUAAAAAUUUGUUUGUAAAUCAUUUUCCAAAAUUAAAUCAUUUUUUUAAAGUUUGAUCAAGUUCAAUAUGAGAUUUAGGAAUACAAAUAAAGUAGAGCAUUCUUCAUUACGAUUACCUAUUACCUAAAAAAAACUAAAUGGCAUUGGUGUUUUAUUGUAACCUAAUCCACAAUAAAAUAUGUCUUAGAUUUGGGUGGUGAUGUUGAUAUCUUUUUUUUUGCACAAUAAAAAUAAUAUUUUACCCCUAAAGUCAAUAAAAUAUAAACAGUUGACCAAGAGCUUUCUUGAAUUUGCAUAAGCUUCUUUACAAUAAAAGUAUGUAUUUGCCCCCAUAGUCAAAAAAUUAUUAUGCUACUGGAUAAGGGUGUUUUGGGAUUUUUAAUUUUUAAUGCAUAGUGCAAUUACAUAUUUAAUCUUGGAAGAGACAAAACAUAAGUUUAACAUUUGAGAAUAUUUUUGUACUUUCAUAUGGGCAUUUUGUGUAAUUGCAGGGGUUGUGGGGGGGGGGGGGCAUUUUUGUAUUUUCAUAUUUUUUUAAAACAAUUUAAUGCUUAAAUCUAUUGGAGCAUCCUCGACACGCCCCAAUGCAUGGGUGGCGUCCGUGUCGCGCCACCUGUUGGACAUAAUUGGCCUUCUGUCAUCUUCCUAGAUGGGUCGUUGUGUACAUCUUCUGUUUGGAGUGGUGUAUGGCAAAUUACGGUGAUCGGAUUGUCAUUCAUGGUCGUUUGAUUUUUUUUUUCUUCUUUUGUCUCUGCCGACAUGCAAUAUACUCUAUUGUCCUCUUUGUUCUUACUUUUCAAUUUCAGUCCCCAUUCUAUUAAUUUUUUAUUUCGUUCCUUUUUCCAUUCAUAGAAGUUUUUAUUAUUUUCAAUUUAGUCCUUCAAUUGCAAUUUCUCAUAUGUUUGAUUUUUCAUUUUAGUCCUUGUAUUUUUAAAUUUCUAAUUUUAUCUUUGACACUUUUGUUGAAGUUUGUUUUCUUUCAAUUUCAUCAUUCAAACAAAUAUUUUGUUGUUUUUUUUUUUCAGUUUAACUCUCAUUAUUUUGAGUUUUUUCCUUUUAUUAAAGCUAUUUUCAAUUCAAUUGAACCCUUCAAAUUAAAAUUUUUAUCCCUCUAAUUAUUUUUUUUCUCACUCUCAUUUUUUCGAUCAUUUUGUGUAAUUAAUUUUUUUUUCUAGUUUUAUCUUUCAACAUUUAAAUUGUUUGGAAUUCGACUUUGUUUGAUCUUAUUGUUCUGCAUUAGUUUGUUUUUAAUAUUGGUUUUGUGGUUAUCUUUAAGUUUUUUCUAUGGGUUUAUCUCGGUCUUAUGAUUUAGGUCACGAUUUUUGCAUGUCUUUUUUUAAUAUAAGGUUUUUUUAGUUGUUCUGUUUCUAUUUUAUUUUUCAAUGUAUUAUUCUAAUUCAUCUAUAUUUGUUUUUUUACAAACAAAGUUUAUUUUUUAAAAUAAAAAAUAUUCGUUUUAAAAAUAAAUUACUUCUGUGUUCGGCCUUACGUAAUAUUUCUUAUUAUGUGAGUUUAUUUAGUCAAUUUUAUUUGUAUUUAUUUUUUAAGUCAUUGGUUUUAGAGUGUGGAUUUAUCUUUUAUUUAUUUAAAUAAAAAGUUCAGCAAAUACAAUCGGAUACUUGCAUAGGCUUUUCAAUUUACACUUCGAAUUUUUUUUAUAUAAAAAAAACAUUGAAACAACCUACAUAUCCAACGUUUUUUUUUUUUUUUAUAUAAAAAACAUAUUGAAACAACCUAAAGCUGUUAAAUGGUAUAACCUAAAGCUCAAUCAUCGCGCCACAGGCUUAACCAAGUAUUUCUUAAUUAUUUAUAACUCAAGACUUAUGAUAUUAUAGCUUUUAUUCCAGGGAAUUAACCAAAUCAACACUUUGGCAAAUCCCCUCUAUAAUUUGUUGUGCAAUUCUACGUAGUGUUUGAUCAACGAUCAAUAGUAACCAAAGAUUGGCUAUGUGAUUGCAGGAAAUUGGUUCUUGAUACAGAUUCUAAAUUAAGUGGUGCUCCAUAUUUUUAAAGCACCUGUAGUCCAAGCUGUUGCGGUUUUGGCUUUGGUAACUAGAACUAGAGACUUGUUUGCUAUAGAGUGGAAUGUUCACGUGCAGAUAGGCCAGGGCUUUUAAGAAAUUAAGAACAACAAACCAAACUAUACAACUUGAAAGAAAGAAAGAAACAUAUUCUUAACCUGCAUCCUUGUUUAACCAAAUGGAAGGCAAUAUUCUGUGAAAUCUCAUCUCCAUUUGAAGUAAGCAACACUUUAUUUGCCCCACUUCCCAUUCUCCAAUCCAAACUUGAUUUUCAAAAGAAACCCUGUCAGCUAAAACAACAGCAAAAUAAUUCAUCAUCCAAAAUACACAUAAUUCACGUUAAAAAGAAAGAAAAGAAUUCUCUAUCACACAGAUGAUGGUACCUCACACGAAACUAAUUGAAUGAAGAGAAAGACAAAAGAGAGAUGUCUCGUCAAAUGAAUGAAUGCUAGAGCUGUGUCUGUCCGUCUGUCACGAGUGGAGUUGUCCCAGCAAAAUUCGGCUAUUCUUCAUUUUUAAGAGCCUUUCAUGGAUGAUCUAGCUCCCGAGCAGGUUAAUUUGCUUCCAUUUCUGUACUAUGAUUUUACUGAGACCAUGUUCUCUCGCCCAGUUUUGCUUAAUUUUCGGGGGCAUUGUCCCUUUCACUGAAAAGAGCAAAAAAAGACACGAAAUCUUUUCCGAGUUUACCACUUCCUUAAUGAAUCACAAAGACGCGUGAGAGUGCACAAACACAUUAACCUAUGUCUAUGUAAAAACAAAGCUUUGCUUGGGGAGUAACCCCCGCAUAAGAUUUAAGGCUAAACGAGGAUUUAUGAUUUCUACAAUCCUAAUCCACUUAAUUUUGAAUUUGAAAUUAAUUACUUGUAAGCACAUUCAUGUACCUAUACAUAAAUAAAUAUACCUGGUGAUUCCAAGUUUAUUUCUAGUGCUUGGUGUCUGUUAAUGAAUCUUGGCCUAUAUGAAAUUGGCUUGCAGCUGUCGGUCCAUAAAAUCAUCCUGUUGCGAUGAAUGUUACCUGAAAAUUGAAAUAUGAGGGGUGAGGUGAAGAUAGAUUAGGGAAUGUUCAUUAAUGGUUUUAAAUUACAACAAUUCCACUUGACCUUCUCCAUGGUAACUUCAGUUUUUUUUUUAGGGGGGGCACAAAGAUGACUAUUUCAAUGAUCCUAAUCCACCGUAGAUAGGAGUUGACAUACCAUUAUCUCUUAAAAUUUCUCUAAACUCUGCUCGACUUCUCCAUGAAUUUGUUGAAGAAGAACCUUAGUUAAUUAAUGAAGGCAACAAAUAACUCAGCAUUUUGAAAAUUCACGAGAAAGAAAUUGAAAUAACUCAGCUUAUGAUACUUUUUUAAUGCCAACCAAAGCCAAGAUUACAUAAACUUGUAAUCAUACUCUCUUCUUAUUAGAUUCUUGUCUUUAAGAAUCAAGACAAAAGUUAGGAAAUUGAUUAGUCCAAAACUUCUCCAGUAGAAUAUUUCUUAAACAGAUUGGACCAAUGGAUGAGCCCCAUGAGAACCUACCUUUUUUUCAUAAUCUUUCUGUCCAAAAAUGACCACUGGAUUAACCUUAACUCUCCUAUACUCAUCUAUUAACCUUAACUCUCCUAUACUCAUCUACCUUGGGUAAUAAUGAAGAUAAUGCUACAUUAUUUUCCACUUUCUUGUUAAGCAAAGAUGCAUAAAAAAAAAUGGAUGAUAGGUCCCACUGCAGCUAUAACUUGUAUGCUAUUAAUCUAAUUCUUUGUAUAAUUUUGGAUGACCAUAAAACUUGAGAUUCAACUUAAUAUUUUUUUUUAAAGUCACAUUGGUCUACUUAUAAGGUUGAAGUUUGAGGUACACUGAAUCCCCUAUCUGAAAUUCUCUUUUUUGUUCUUUCUUUGUCGGUAACAUAUGUUUCAUUUCAUGUCUGGCCUUUUUUUAUUGUUUGUUUAAUAAUUGAUCUAUUUUAGCCAUUUUAUGAAUUACCUUUUUGAAUAUAGACAAUAUUGUAGUUUUUUAUAUAGUUAAUUCUUUGUUUGGUGGAGGGUAUUCAUAUAAAGCUUGAAAAUAACUCAUCUUAAUAGAAAAAAUAAAAUCUUGAAUUGUAUCAUCAUUGAGCCAAUGACAACCAACAAUAUCAUUUAUUUAUAUUGUAUAUUGCCAUACAUUUCACUAUUAGUAUGUGAGUUAUAUGAUGAACUCAUUAACAGCUCCACCUAUAACAACUUAAACAACUCACUCCAAAAUAAUCCAGUUAAAACCUUAUCCCUAUUUGUUAUAAUAGUGAUUGCAUGGGGUUUGUAAAAAUAAUUUAGAAACACUUGAAUUAUAUCAUGGGUUGUAAAUGAGUAUGUUAGUACUUUGAAGUGUCAAUACUUGGUGAAUCUGCCAACUAUUAUCAGUAUUGUAUCUUCCCCCCAUGAUUGUGGUGGUCCUUUUAUGAAAUCCAUAGUUAUCCAUGUUCUUUCUGAUAUUGGAAAAUAUGCUUUAAACUCUCAUGAUUAGUUUUAAUGAUGAACUAAAUCAUGCUCCAGGUAGUGUCUUUAUCUUUCUAUUGCAAUUAGUAUAGCCACAUAUUCCUUAUUAUAAAUUAAUAGUCCAAGAUGCCUUAGACUCAAUGCUUUGCUAAAAAAGAUUAAUGAUCUCCCAUCAUGACUUAAAACAAUACAUAAUCUAUUUACAUAUGCAUUCAUCUCCAGCAUAAAAUUAUUGUUAAAAUUUGGCAAUACUAGUAUUAAAGUUUUACAUAAGACAUUUUUUAGCUUGUUAAAAGCUUCUCAAGGUUUUCCAUUCCAACUAAAAUUGUUUUUUUUUAACAAUUCAGUAAAGGGUUUGAUGAUGACUCUAAAUCCUCUAAUAAACUUCCUGCAAUAUCUUGUCACUCACAGGAAACCUCUUAAUUCUUUAACUAGGGGAGGAGGGGGUUAGCCUUCUCUUCAUAACCUUUAUCUUUCUUGGAUUAGUUGUCAUACCAUCUAUUGAGAUUAUAUGCCCAGGGUACUCAACCUAUUGCUCAUAAAAGGAACAUUUUGAUUGCUUUAAAAAUAUUUAAUUAUACUUUAGUGUUUCCAAUAUUAUCCUUAGAUGAUUAAUGUGUAGUCCUAAAGUUCUAAAGUAGAACUAUAUAUAAUAAUAUCAUCAAAGAACAACAAUAUAAACCUUAUAAAAAUUAGUUUCAAUAUAUUGUUCAUUUAGGAUUGAAAUGUAGUUGGUGUAUUAGUCAAGCCAAAUGGCAUAACUUUGAACUCAUAGUGUCUAUGAUGAGUUUUAAAAGUUAUUUCUCCACAUCUUCUUCAUAUAUUCUUACCUGGAGAUACCCAGAUCUUAGAUCUAGCUUUGAUAAGAACUAAUAACCAUGUAAUUCAUCCAUCAAGUCAUCAAUUAAUGGAAUGGAAAGCUUAUUGCUAAUAGUCAAAUUAUUGAAUUAUUUGUAAUUAACAUAUUACCUCUAUGUGUUACCUUUUUUUUAACCAACAACACUGCAGAAGCAAAUAUAUUGUAAAUGUGUUGAAUAAUUUCAUUCUAUAACUUCUUUAACAACUUUUUUAUAUCUUUAUCGUGCACAAGUGAGCUCUUAUAAAGCCUAAUAUUGAAUGGUUUGGCUUUAGGUAUGAGAGGAAUCCUAUGAUCAAACUUUUUAACAGGUGAAAGGUGUUUAGGUUCUACAAAUACUAACUUAUAUUUUUCUAGAAAUGCCUUCACUUUUAAUUUUUUCACUAAUUGUUUAUGUUCUUCACAUACUUUUAUAAAAAAAAUUGCAUCACAAAACCAUACACUACUUCCUUCAAGCUUUUAAGUGUCAUUUGUAAUUUAUAUUCUACUAUAAUUCCCUUUAACUCAAUCAUCCUUCCAUUUUUUUAAUGAUAAUUUUAUUUUAAUAUGUUCAAAUAGAAUUAGUGGGUAAAUCCUUAUCACAUCUUUCUAGUUUCAACACUCUCAAAUUUGCUUAAAACUCAAAUCCAUGCAUAAACCAUAUGAAUCUAGGACUGCGAGAAUUAUAUUUCAUUAUAAUUUUAUUAGCUACUGUUACAAUAAGCAUGAUGGUCUUCUCAAUAACUAUUUUAAUUUAUUUAGUCACUUGUUCAUCAAUGAAACUAUAUGUACUACCACUAUCAAUUAAAAUGAUAAUGUAUCAUUCUUGACAAAUUCCUUCGAUCCGGAUAAUGUUAUGUGCAUAACUUUCAACUAGUGUAUUAAAAUGUAGGUCAUGGUCCUCAAUAUUAUCUUCUUUAACAUUAAUUCCAUUACUAUUAUAUUAUUUCAUAUCCACAAACUCUUUCUUAUCCUCUUCCAACUCUUUUAUCAUAUGUAUUCCUUUUAUUCUGCAUUGAUGUCGAAGUGUGCAUUUUUCCCCACAUCUAAAACAUUGCCCCAACCUUCUUCUUCACUCAUAUAUGGUCUCAGAAAGGUAUUUUGAACUAUGAGGUAGUUCUAUUCUAGAAUUGUUAAAAGAUUUUGAUGGUGGAUUACCUGGUUGUCAAGUAACAUUUAUUUGAAUGAGUUUGUUCUUCUUGGCCAAGGUAUUAUUAGACUCCUCUCACCAUUUAGCUUAAUAAAAAAAGUCUACAUUAGAACUAUUAGCUUGGGAAUCUUGAGCAUUAGCUUGAUGUUAUCAUUGAAUUCACUUAUAAAGCUAGAAAUAUAAUAGGAUUUUGGUAGCGAUGGAUGUCGUGUCGUACAUGGGAUCAGACAAAGGGUAUGACUCCUGGAUCAUGGGGGUUUUGAAAACGUUAGGAAAUAAUCAUAAAAAUAUGAUUAAUAGGGUUCAGGAGUUUCCACCUAGUAUUAUGAUCACUAGAAAAUCUAAUGGUCUGCGAGAGACCGUGUAAGGUUCCAUUGUUGCUUGAUUGUUAUUUUAAGUUGUAUUUCUAUUUGUUGGUUCAUCUAAGGUUCAAGGCAGAUCUUUCUUUAUAAGGAAGUCUCUAUAUCAGGUUAAAUUUUAAUCAUUCUAGGACCUAAACUUUAGCAUUGCACUUAUUUCCUACUUUGUAUCUUUAAUACAUGAGGAUAUAUUUUACAAUGUAAUUUUAUAUCCUCAAAUAAUAAAGUCUAUAAUUAGUUUCUAAUAUUUAUUUGUAUUAAUUCAUUUAAUUUAAUACCAAAAGUAUGCAUUACAUAUGCUGUAAAAUUCAUACCCCGAAUAUUAAUUGAACAAAUUAAUUUGUGGUAUUUUUGAAAUUUUAGUCAAAUUCUAAUAGAUAAUCAUAAACCAGUUAUGAUAUUCAUUUUGGUAUUUUUAAAACAUAAUAAAAAUGUAUUUUUAUUUUUUUAGAAAAUAUGCCCGAAAAACCUUUAGAAUUUGAUCGUAUGCAUAAAAACAAAAAAAUAUUUUUGGAAUUUUUUGAAAUUUCAAAGAGAAAUCAGAUAUUUUUAAUAUUGGAUCCGUAUCUUACAGUGUCAGUUUAUAGCCUGAUAUUAGGUAAAAUUAUUAAAAAAUCACACGAAAGACCCAUAAAUAAUUUAAAAAUGAUCCCUAAAUUUUUUAUAACUAUUUUAGAGUCUGUUUGGCUAAACAGUAAAAUAAUAACAAAUAAAAUCUAAUGGGAAUGCAGUAGGGUGUGUUUGGCAAGCACACCCUUAGCUUCAAAUUAGAGGCAUGAAAAAUAAUUUAAGACAAUGUUUGACAAACACACUUUAAGAACCAAAACAAGGCACUUUUCCUAGGACACAAAUAGAAUGUGUCAAACACGCCCUUAGGUAUGGGUUGGGCUUGGCCCAACCCAACCUGAAUUUGUUGGGCCAGCAAGCGGCCCAACAUGCUUCUUCUUUCUUUAUUUUUUUUGUUUUAAAUGAAACCCCGCCCAGCUACACGGGCUGGGCUUGGGUAGGGCCCAAUUACUCUGCCACAGGCCCGACCAAAUGGCUUCCAUUUUCUGGCAAAAAUGUCAGCAACGUGAAUGGAUGAUUCAAGUUAUCCCCAUGCAAUUAUCACCAUACAUGAAUGAUGAAAGGAAGAAGGAAAUGUUACCUAGGCGAGAGGAGAGUGUUGACCGUCGGUUGGUGGCGCUGCUGGAGAUGAUGGUGGCUCAUGGUGGUUGUUGGAGAAGGAAGAAGUUGCUGCUCUGUUGAAGCUAGUGCGGUGCUGAAGGAUGACGAUGCACACUGCUGCUGCUGGAGUGAAGCUGCGCUGCUCGAUGAAGAAGAAGUAGUUUCUCUGUUAAAGACUUCAACUGCUGCUGAUGAAGACUCCAGCUGUUUCAAAUGGCCAAAAACACAGGAGGGGCAGCUACUAGAAUUGAAACACAGCUGCUAGAAUACUGGAGCUCUCGGCUGCGCAGAAGAAAAGCUAUUGCUGGUGCAGAGCUGCUCUUCUGUGAUGCUUCAAUGGAAACCAAGAACAGCUGAGGAAGAUGUCAGUUGCCACACUGCUGAGAGGGACAGAUGUAACCCUACACGGCUGUUGCUUCUUCAAACUGUUGCUACAGGAGGAGCUGUUGUUCACGACUAAGAUCACUGUGCAAAGAAACCGACGCAGCUGGAAAGAGGAAGCUUCCACUGAUGGUGACGGUUGAAGCUUCUGGUAAAGGCUGACGGUUAAUGAACAGGAAUGGUUGAGGCUGAGUUGUUGGUCACGAUAUGUUCUUCCCUUCCAAGCCAGUCACCACAAAUCUUUGCUUUCAAAGAAAUAAUUCAUCUUCUCUUCCCUGGUGUUAAUUAGUCAUGUUUUUCUUUUCUGUUUUGGGAGGUACUGGUCUAGUUUUGAGGAUCAAUCAACCGUGGGAGUGAAAGAGGAAUUGAUGACGCUGCUUGGAAGGUAACGGUUGAAGUUGCUGUUGGAAAAUCUUUCACUGCUAUAGUCGAUUGAAGAUGAGAUGAAUGUUGUUGUUGUUGUUGGCUGCCAUGGCUGAGGUGUUUAUGGUGCUUGGCUGACAGUUGGUCGGAUUGACUGAGGAACACCACAGGGCUCACCGUUGCCUCUGGAGAAGUCUGCUCACGGGUUGUAUCCAAGGACUGCUGUCAGGACUGAAGCUCAUGGUGGAGUUGAGAGGAGAUUCCUGGUGUGGAGGUUAAUUAGUAAUGUGAGAAAUGGUGGUGCUCACGGUGCUGUGCAGAGAAGAACUAUCAAUGGAGGCUGGGAGAGUUAAUUAUUUUUUAUUGCUUCUCUUCCUUUUUUUCUCAUUUAUGACGUUUAUUUCUUUCUUUUUUUAAUGCCCCCAAAAUUCCCCCUUCUCUCUCUCUGUUUUUUUUUUUAAAAAAAAUUAUCAGUUUCCUCUCUCGGUUACUCGGUUUCAAGCAACUAAAAAAUCACUUUGAUCUUUAAUCUCUCUUUUUUUGUUUUUUGGUCCUCUUGUGUGUCUAUAUAUAUAUAAUUUUUUAAUUUUCAACUCUUUUGAAAAAAGCUGAAAAUAAUACAAAUGCAUCAAAGAUAUAUAUAUUUUUGUUUUUUCACUAUUUUUUAUUUUAAAAAAACAUUAUUAAUAAAAUAAGAUCAAAAUCAAGUUAUAAUAAUAGAUUUAAAACAUUCAUUAAAGAUUCGAGUUUUUCAAAUCUUUCCCUAUAAUUUUUUUACAUCCUUAUCAUACACUAAUUUAUUAAGCUCCUCGACCUUGUUACUUUUUUUAUACCUUACAUUAAUUUGUUAAGCUCCUCCACUAUAUUUUUUUCUACUACAAAAUCAUGUAAAUGAGCCUUGUAAAUAUUUUCUACUUAGCGAAAUCAUCUCCUCCCAAUAAAAAACCUUUAUACCAUAUUUUUGUUUUUCUUUCUAUUUCCCACCCAUUGAUAUACCAGUGUAAAGUGUUAUCUUGAAAAGUUUCUCGUACUUCCUAAUCUGUCCUCUUAGAUUUUCUUUCCAGAAAGUAAGUAGUUAUACCUAAGGUGUGGUGUCACGUUACACCCCAUUUUAUGAAUGUCAAGGUUAAUUUCCAAUGGUUUCCUGUAACCUCCAUGGUUAUGAAUUAUUCCAUCAAAAACUGAGUUGUUCAUUUCUUCUUUCUCUCUGGAUGGCCAUGAAUGACUUCAAAGUGGCCAUCAUAGCUUCCAUUUGCAUAUUGAUACUGUGCUCAGCCUUUUUGGUUGGUUCUUGUCAUUGCUUCUGAUUUUCAGCUAUGGAAUCUUGGAGUUCUUGUUGCAUGCUUUGCAUUUGUUCAUCAAGCCUUCUGUUGUGCUCUUCCAAUGCCUUAAUCUUGUUAUUUAUCAUCAUGGUUUACCUCUAGAAUUGUUUAAUAUGCAAGAUUCUAUUAUUGGUCAAGGAUUUUAGGCUCCAAUACCAAUUUGUUAAGAACUUUCUUAACAAAACAGUGUAGUUUUAGAAGAAAUGUAGGAGAUAAAAACAAGAAAGGAAAGAUAGAGAGAAUGCAGCUCAAAACAAGAAAAGAAAGAUAAAGUUCAUACUCACAUGAGGUUUUAUUGUUUCUCUUCUUUUGACAAAGAAUCCAGGAUCCCUCCUCCACUUGCUUGUCAAUGGGUGGUAGGUGGGGUGGUCUGUUCGAAGAUAAUGCUAUCCUAAGCGUUGAGGUCUAAAGAGCGAACUUCCAAGAAUUCGGUGUUAGGAUUAAUUGACAUCCACGAUGAAUCAGGAAUUUCGGACAAAUUGGUUAUGAAGAGAUCCCCCGAGAAGAAAACAAGAAGCAGCCGAUUCCCUAAGCUAUCAGGUUGGCCUUCUUAUGUUCCUCAACACUUGUAUAUUCUGUACAAAUCUCGGAGCUUUUCACAGAUGGGGGAUGGGAAAACGCAUGGAAGGAUCCAAUAGAACCAAGAACAGCAUCCAUAGCGGAUAUUAUAUCAUCUUUUUAUGUAGUUAUUAUCGAAUCAAAUCCACUGUAAUGCUCAAUUUCCAUUGAUGUUGCUCCUCCUGAAAAGGACUCGCCUUGUAUAUGAAAAUCAAAAGAAAAGGACAUUUAAAAUACAACAAUAUUGUCCUCAAAAUUAAGAAAACCUCAAAAUCAAAAGAUAAGACAAAAGCGCUGCUUUCUACUCUCCUUUCUAUGAAUCUGCACCAAGCAAUAAUCAAAGCUUAAUUAUUGUUUUAUAAACAUAAUUCAUGUCUAUACGCCUGCAUGCUUGAGCAUCGCCCUAUAUAAACUUAGCACAGUGUUGCUACCCAACCUUCAAACCAUUUUUUAUCGUUUAUAUCGUUGGCCUAAAUAUUGAUUCCUUCUCCCUAGGUUGUUCCAUCACCAAGAAACAAAGCCUCUUUAACAUGGAGGCCAAAGCCAGCUCAGGCAUUCAACUUCCUCCAGGAUUUAGAUUCCAUCCAUCUGAUGAGGAGCUCAUAGUGCACUAUUUGAAGAACAGAGUCAGUUCAAGUCCACUUCCUGCAUCUAUUAUUGCUGAGAUAGAUCUCUAUAAGUAUAACCCAUGGGAGCUACCAAGUCUGUAUAUAUUGCGUUUCUAUUGGUUCCAUUUUUCUUACAUGCAUCUUUUGUAUAGUAAUUGCCUACUGACAGACACCUUUUCUUUCAAAAUAGAGAAAGCUUUGUUUGGCGUGGAUGAAUGGUAUUUCUUUACACCAAGGGAUAGGAAGUACCCCAAUGGAGCGCGGCCUAACAGGGCAGCAGCUUCAGGUUAUUGGAAGGCAACAGGGACAGAUAAAUCGAUUUUUAAUUCCUUCGGAACAGCCAAAAUAGGCGUCAAGAAGACUCUCGUGUUCUACGAAGGACGCCCUCCCAAAGGACUAAAGACAGACUGGAACAUGCAUGAAUACAGAUUGCUAGAUGCCAUGAUUUGGAACAAUUCCAAGAGAAAAGGAUCUAUGAGGGUAAGUGGAAGGGUCGAACCCAUGUCUAAUUCAACUGCCAGUUAUAUUUGAUAACGAUUUACGGAUUGUUAACAACAAUUCUGCUUGCUGCAGUUGGAUGAUUGGGUGCUGUGUCGAGUUAGGCAGAAGAACAGCAUCCCCAGAAACACAUGGCAAGAUCAAAAUAUUCCAAGUUGUGCAUCUGCACCCACCGGCUUGUUCCCAAAAGUGAAUGAGCUACAGCAAAUGAACAUCAACCCCAACACUGAGAUGGUCACGAAUUAUUUUUACGAUGAUUGCCCAAUGUUACCUUGUAUCUUUUCUCCCCAGAAUUUUCCAUCAACUGAAAGAGCCUCAAGCAUAAACUUCCUAAGUAGCGACAAAUCUUGCACUUCUUUUCACAAUUUGUUAAACCUACUGAAAAGAAAACCUGCGGAAACAAACCAACAGCGAGGGAAUUGUUUUCCACCCGGCAAGAUGCUUAGAACAAAGGCAGAUAUAGAGGAGGACGUUGUAUCUAUCAGAAACGAUGGCACUGAUGAGAAUUUCAGCGGAACAGAUCAGUCUGAGAGUGGCAAUUUCAGCACUGAGCAAUGGAAUUCUCCCAUGCAAUAUCAAGAGUGUAAUCACCUAACCUUCACAGGAAAUCACCUAACUCUUGAUUAGAACAGUAUCAAGAGUUUAUAUUUGUAAAUAUCACGGUGGCUAUUUAUACAUUCAGAUAGCUAGGUACGGUGAUUUGUAUAGUAUAAGGAUCUUAGCAAAUAUGGUGAUUCAUUCCUAGUGGAUAGCUUGUAUAAAUUACUACUAAAUACACUAAAAGACUUGGGGUGUUAUGGUUAUGUGAACAGUAACAUUUUUUUUUUUCAUUUUCAUUCUUAAGCUUUUCUUUCUCCGAUUGCAUCUAUUUAUGGCUAAUUUAAUGAGUUAUGGUUUAAAAUAAAUAAAAGAAAAAUAAAAUUCAAUAAAAUUGUACCAAAACAUAAAACAUGAGAAACCUACAUGACCAAUAUGAAAUUCACGCAAAAAUUAUUUGAUCAAAAAGUUUACUUUGUUCAUUUCUAGAGUUUGGGAGAAAAAAAAGUGAAACUUGCUAAAAAAUAAAGAAAAAAAAAUAAAAUUAUUUGUUGGCUAUAUUCUAACAAAAAAAAAAACUAUCUUAGUGUUAAUUAUUUUUAUUUAAUAAGAGAAGUUUUAUUGAGGUAUUUUUUAUUUUUGACGUGCUAGAAAAAAAAGAUCAAGAUUGAGAAAGAUUUUUUUUAAAAUUUUAAAGUAAUUUGAGUUGAAAAUUUAAUUUAUCGCUCAAUAAAAAUAUUUAUUAGAUGAAAAUAUAAUGAAAAAUAAAUUUUUAGUUCUCAAAAAUCUCAGCCUGAUUUUAUGACCACUUUUUUGUUCUCUACAAACUUAGUUUGUUUCCAACUUAUUUUAUCCUAUACAUAUAAAUCAAACAAUGAAAACACACAUGAAUCAAUAUUUUAGCUAUCCCAAACCUCGCAAAUAUCCUAGCCACGCACUCUUAAGUAUAAUAAAAGAAUAUUUUAAUAUUGUAAAUGUAUUUUUAAAUAUCAUAUUUUUUUUAAUUAAAACCUCAAACAUAUUGAUUACAUUUAAUAGAACAAGAUAAAAAAUAUACAUGAAUCGAUAAACCAAAAAAAGUUGUUGAAUUAAAUUAGCCUACAUGCCCCAACAACACCACCUCUUUUGUUUUUUUUUUUAAAAUUUAAUACUCUCCCUCUUUUUUAUUUAUGUUUUUCUACUUUGCAUAAAUUUCUUUAUUUAAAUUUUACUUCACACUCCCUCUCUUAUUCUUUUUAAUUGUUUAGUUUAUCUUUUUUAAAUAGUUUUUAUUUUUUUAAUUCUUUAACUCUGCAAUGCUUCAAAGAAAUUAUAUUUGUAUUUGUGUUAUAUAUUUAUAAUUUAAAGUUAAAACAAGUUGAAAAGAUAGGAUUUUGGAAUUUCAAAACUUGAGACAUGAUUUUUCAUCUAUAUAAGUGCUUGAGAAAUAUUGCAAAGGAUGACAAGUCAUCUGUUAAAGCAGACGACCUAUUAUUCGUGUAAAAGAAGCAUGGGCGGAUGAUGCUCCAUUAAAAAAAGUGCAGCCUAGGCGCAUUUAAGCUUUUGAGUUGCUGGCGCGCUAGCCUAGCAGGGCCUCAUCGCUUGGGCCUUUUGUUUUGGUAAUUUUAAUUAAUACCAUCUCUCAUAUUAUUAUAUUUUUAAAUCAUUGUUUGUUUUAUUUCAAUAGUUAUUUUUUAAUUGUGUUUUAAAUUUAUAAUCUUUCAAAGAAGUUUGUGUAAUUUAUCUUUAUUUUUUGUCCUUUUAUGUUUUAUAUAAAUAAAUUUUAUUUAUAUGAUGAAUUUAUAAAAAUAAAAUUCAUUUAUUCUUGGAAAAAAUAAUUUCAAAGAUGAAAUAAAUAAAAUGUCUUUUGAAAAAUUAACUUUCUAUUUUAAUAUUUAUUUAGCAUUAAUAAUUCUUUUUCAGUUUAUUGUUCAUUUAUUUUUUUAACUUGAUUUAUUAAAGGUAAACAGGAUGUUGCAUAUCUUAAUUAAAAAAAAAAAAAAAAACUUGUAAAAUUUGAUUUAUAUGUACUUGGGUCCAAUCUUAAUAUGCCAUUUUUUUUGGACCCAAACAAUUGACUGACCAUUGCAAGAUACAUGAACGACAAACAUCCAUUUCCAUGUGUGAGAAGUUACUCCCAGCAUGAGAAACAAAUCAAAUGCAAAAGCAAGCACCAUAUGAAGUCCUCAAAAUACAAAAUUAUACAGAAAAUGCCAACACUAACACACCAUGGAAAUAGAUUAGGGUAGAUUUUUCAUGUUCUUCACUUCUUCAGCACACUGCAAAGGAAGAAGCUUUGUCAGAGAAACUUCCCAAUUGAAAAAACAACAAAAAUAAGAGCAUCGGCUGAUUCAUCACUGUAAGUUUCAGGGAGAUGCAAGAAGAUGAUCGGUCAUCUCACUUUUGAGGGAAAAUUAAGGGGGAGGAGACCACUAGUAAUUUAGCAAGUCCUUACCAAAAAAAUUUGCCUUGGGUUAGAAGAACCAAGCACAAAUUCUUUCCUAGGUUUUCUAGGUAAAUCAAUAGCUUGACGGCCCCACCACUCAAAGUCAGAAACCAACACUGAAGUCCCGACAAACAAAUUCCACUCUCCAGGCUUAUUUUUCAUUCGACGCCAAAUUCCAGUUUUCAUCAUAUAAAGGCAUACAAAAUGUUUAGAUAUUAAAAUAAGUAAAUGUUGGACCAUCUCCUUUCUACAGUUCACACUUCAAAAUUGUUACAUGGCAUUCAAGAUGCCAGAUGACCCCAGUCAACAACUAUAUAGAUUUUGCGUGGACAGUAGAACAAGAUGCUAGAUGGCCCAGUCAACAACUGUGUAGAUUUUGCAUGCAGUAGAACAAUGAAGACCAAAUUAAGCAUUUGAAAUACAAUGUGUUCUUUAAAAGUUUAGAGUUCAAUGGCAAGGUAAUUGUAUUUUUGACAAAAAUAUACAUGAAAUCGUCUGUGCCAAGUGGCAAAGCCCCCUCAAGAAGGCAGUUAUCUCACAAAUUCUUAAGAAUUUGUUGAUCUGAUUCUUGAACAUACCCUUUUUUGUCAGUCCUUUAUCGCAAAUCCAAUACUUUCAUUUAAUAGACUUAUAACUCAAGAACUAAUGGUAUUAGAGCCUCCACAACUAUAAACCUUGAAGAUAGGUAAGAUGAACAAAAUGCACUCAAAAGAUUUGGAAAUACAAGCACGAAAACCAAUAGAAUUCAAUGGGUAAUCAUAAUUUUAACAGCCUGUACAUCAAAUUGUCUCCAGUGCAAACCUCAAAAAAGAAAAGGAAAAGAAGAAGUAGGAUCAACAGAACUCACAUAAAAGAAAGUAGUAUUAAAUUAUAAAGCUUCUGGUGGAGGGCCAACUGAAUUGACAUUAGGAAGUUCAAUUCAUUAUUAUAACUAUAUUUCAAGUUUCACUAAAGAUUUUGUUUUGUUUCUUUCCUAUUGCAUGUAUAUUUUGUAUAAAACUAGAGUUUUGGUGUGCCCAUUAAAAUGCAUUUUUUAUUUGGACAGCUACUUUUUAUGGAAAAUGAGAACUUGAGUUGCUACCAAAGGUAGAUUUCCAUGUACGUUUGAGGUGGAUUUCUUAUGUGCUCUUAUUUAGGCAGUGGAUUCCUCUUGUUUAUUUCACUUCUACAAAGUAGUGAGAGUUGCAGGUGAAGAAAUAACAUGCUCAUAAACACAGCUAAGGUGAAGAUGUUAAACCAGAUGUUUGUACACAAAAGAAAGGAUUAGUCAAGAAAUGAGUCCAUCGGGUGAAGAUGAAGAUGGCAGCUAUUAAGGAUGAGGUCUGCGAUGGUGUAGCCAUAUGAAACAUAAACCUAUGAAUACAAUGGUAAGGAAGACAUCAACUUAAAACAUUGGGAUGCAAGAGGGUACAAGUGCGAGAAAAAAUGACAUGAGCUGAAGUAAUAAAAAUUGAUCUAGUAUGACAACAGAUUCCCAAAAGAGCACCCACAACAGAAUUAAAUGAAGCAACUUCAUGUAGCUCCCCAAGUGUGUGGUAAAGCGGAGUCAAAUUAAGUUUGCUCGUGAAAUUAAAAAAUUUCACUCUUCUUCCUUGGCCCCCAUUUUGAGAAAUUUCCCAGUAUAAUGUUGCUUUUAAAGUUAGUUCAUCCUAGCUAUACUAUGUGAACUACCAGAAAAAGGAUUCUCAUAGUAUCGAUUCACAGUGGAAUAAAGUACUCAAUGAGACAAGAUUGCUCACUUACAAUAACUAAUCCUGAUUUAAGAAUUGCUUCGAUGAGUUAUAUUGUCAAAUGAAUCCUACAAAAGAGCUUGAUCUAACUCUGUACGAGGAAUGGAGGAAAGCCCCAUUAAGCUCGACGCUCAUGUGGAAUUAGAAAACAAAGAAAGCUCACCCAAACAUAAUGGGGACAUGCCGAAAAUGGCAGCAUAACACUUGAUUGCAUAUAAAUGAUGAUAGACAUGUAAGCUACUUAUGAAAGAAGUAGGAACUUACUUGUACAAGUAGGCAGCUAUUCCGAGGAUUAUGAUCAACAAAACAAUAUCAAUACAGAAAUUCCGACUAGAUCUCAACUGGAAUAGAAUGGAAACUUGUGUCAGAUUCAGAAAGAAGCCUAAAUCUGGAUGCUUCUUAAAAGAAUAAAAGUUUAAACUUUGUAAAGUUGAAAGUUCAAUCACCUGGUUAACAGUGUCUUUAAGUCUAACAUUGGUAUUCUUAAGGUCAGCAGCUGCCUUGUCCACCUGUAAGGAAGCAUAGAGAGCACUUCAUAUCAACUCUAAAUUCCAUAUGAGUGGCAUUGAAAAUUAGAGGAUACAGCAAUGCUUCUCACCUUAGUGUCAAUUUCAUCCAUCAAAGGAACUUGCCUGUCCAACUCCUGCACAUAUCACAUAACACACUGAAUUCAAAUGCCAUGGUCAAUUACAUAUCUGCCAAUAGUCACAUACAAACAGCUUUUCUUACAUAUCCCACAUUUCAAACAUAUUUUCCAGCACACGAUAAGUACCUCAUUCAUGUCAUGAGCCAUAUUCUUCAGAGUGUCCAAACCUUCUGAAAUCAUACUCAAACCUUGAUCCUGGAGGAAUGUGAAAGUUAAUAACAAGGGAAACCAUGGGCCCAAUAGCUUGCUUCAAUUACAGGAUGAAAGACAAACAGAGUGCCACUUUAUCAGUCUUGCCUGCUUCAUUUUACGCAUUUCAUACUCCUGCCUGAAUUGACUAGAUGUCUCACUUUCUUGAAAGUAUUCAUUAUCAAACUGCCCAUCUAUUACCCAAAGGAAAUACAUAAUUAGAAUACACUAAUUAUCCACGAACCAUGAGCUAACAAGGAGAAAAAUCAAACAUCACUCUAAAUAUUGAAAUAAGCUACAAACGAUUCACAAAUCACCUGAAUCAAAUUUGAUUUCGGUUCGGGGAGCCGAAGACCCCCAACCUCCAGUUUGUUUGAGUGCAGCUGAACUUCCAUCUGGUAUAGCUUGAAUCCUAUCUGGCAAUGCAUGGACCAAAUCAUUUCGUGCAGCAAGUUCUUCUAUAGAGAGCCCUUUAACCUGUCAAUACACCAACCCUGAUGCUGUCAAUUCUAUACUCUGGACCCUAAAUACCAAUUCAUGAUAGAAAACCGUGAAGAUCAAAGAGAAAUCCAAGUAUAUUAGCGAGUGAUUUCACUUUCUGUAGCUAAUUUAUCUACCAAGUCAGUCAAAAAUCACUUAAAAGAGUUAUCAAAAACUAACCUUCUUUAUUGCUAACCUCUGCAACUUAGGGACUUCCUCAAGCAAUCUAGCUUUAGUUCGACGAAGCUCUGCGUUUAUUGCAACAGCAGAGGCCUUACUUUUCUCCUUGGACGCAAGCUCUGCUUUCUUUAUAGAUCAAAUCACUCCAAAUUCAAUAAUGCAAGCAGAAAUACAGCUAACUGACCUUCCAAUCAACAAAAACUAACACUCCAAGUCUAUAAAUGGACUUAACAGGAGUCCAAAUCAACAAGCAGACACUAAUUUUGAAACAUGAAACAAAUCCAUCUGAUUUCAAAGAGAUCGAAGAGACCUGAAGAGCGGCUUCAAUGUCAGCAUCGACGGCGGCGUAGAGGCGAGCGAAGGCGUCGUCGCCGGAGACAUUGAGAUCUUUUUGCUUCUCGACGUCGUAUUUGUCGUAUUUGUUGCAGAUCGCGUCUACGCGAGUUAAGAUGUCAAUCACGCUCAUUUUUUAUUAUUAUUAUAUCUAAUUAUUAGCUGUUGUUCAAAUUACUGAAUGUUGGUGGAGGUUUGAACGAAUGGAAGAGAGAAGAGAAGAAUUUUGAGUUGAAUCGUUUCAAUUUUGAGGCUUUGGAUAAUAAUUUAGCACGAAACGGUUUCCCAGUGACCCAAAACACAAAUUAUACACAUACUCUUAUUUAAAAUAUAGUAAUAAAUUAAAUACAAUACAGAAUGUGAAAUAUAAUGCUAAUCACAUUACCCCAUAUGUAAAAAAGAAGUAAUAAGGAAAUGAGAGUUUUCAACCGAGAAAUAAUUUUUUUUCUCUCCUUCAUUUAUAUUAUUGAGAUUAUCUUAAUUACUUUCAGUUUUUAUUAAACACAACAUUUUAAAUAAAAAAUAAAAUAUUUCAUAAAAAAUAUAAGCUUCGAUUUAAGAAAUAUAUUUUUUCCUUCAUAAUUUCAAUCCUAUAAACUUUUGUGGAUAUUUAUUUUAAUUAUAGCAAAAUUAAAUAAAAAAAUUAGUUUUAAACAUUAAUUGCCCGCGACAUUACAUGAGUGGAAAAUCAAGUAGAAUACUAUAACCAGAUCAAUUAUAUCCUUUUAAUUUAUAUAUAUAUUAGAAAAAUAAUUUCAACUGGAAAAAUAAUUUCAACUGAUCAAUGCAAUUUCAAUUUCAUUCUGAAAAAUUGGCUAUAAAGAGUCAAAGGCUGUUAACAAGUUUCUUUUCUUUAGCAAACAAAAAAAAAAAAGCGGUGACUUUGCGAAAUUGUCUUCUCUUUCUUCCUUUUCGUUUUCCUUUGUUUUUUUCCCUAGAAUGUUCUUGCGUGGUGUAGAAAGACCUCGGAGUAUUCCACCGACCCAUCUUGCCUUAUUUCUGAAGAAUUCGACUCCAUUCCAUGAAGGCAUUAAGGCGGCUACCUCCUCUUAUAAAGACACAGCACCGCACCCUUGAUCUUUCCCAUCAUCAGCGAUCCUAGCACACAUUCAUUCGAUCUGAAGCCUGCUUUUCUUUUGUUCUAUCAGAAUCUCAGAUAUUUUCUUAAAUCCCUGCAAGCAUGCAGAUCUUCGUGAAAACCCUGACAGGCAAAACCAUAACUCUUGAAGUCGAGAAUUCUGAUACAAUCGACAACGUCAAAGUCAAAAUCCAAGACAAAGAAGGUAUCCCUCCUGAUCAGCAACGCCUGAUUUUCGCUGGCAAACAACUCGAGGACGGCCGUACCCUUGCCGAUUACAACAUCCAAAAGGAAUCCACACUCCACCUUGUUCUGAGGCUUCGCGGCGGUAUGCAAAUCUUCGUCAAAACCCUAACCGGCAAAACCAUAACUCUUGAAGUCGAGAGUUCCGAUACUAUUGACAACGUAAAGGCCAAGAUUCAAGACAAAGAAGGUAUCCCUCCGGAUCAACAGAGGCUAAUUUUUGCUGGGAAACAAUUAGAGGAUGGUAGGACCCUUGCGGAUUAUAAUAUCCAAAAGGAGUCCACCCUUCACCUUGUCCUCAGGCUUCGCGGUGGGAUGCAAAUCUUUGUUAAGACUUUAACUGGAAAGACAAUCACGCUUGAGGUUGAAAGCUCUGAUACAAUUGAUAACGUUAAAGCCAAGAUUCAGGACAAGGAAGGGAUUCCCCCAGAUCAGCAGAGGCUCAUCUUUGCAGGGAAGCAGUUGGAAGAUGGGAGGACUCUUGCAGAUUAUAACAUUCAAAAGGAGUCUACUCUGCAUCUGGUACUGCGUUUGAGAGGCGGGAUGCAGAUCUUUGUCAAGACUCUCACAGGGAAGACCAUCACUCUUGAAGUUGAGAGCUCUGAUACGAUAGACAACGUGAAAGCCAAGAUUCAGGAUAAGGAAGGUAUUCCACCGGACCAGCAGAGGCUUAUAUUUGCUGGGAAGCAAUUAGAGGAUGGGAGGACUCUUGCGGAUUACAAUAUUCAGAAGGAGUCUACUCUCCAUCUCGUGCUCCGUCUUCGAGGUGGUGAUUUCUAAGCGGAACUUAAAUUUGGUGGUUAUGUCUCUUCUUUUCUUUUUUAUCAAUAAAAAAUUAUUAAUAUUUUGUUCGAAAUUAUUCUCUGAAAUUCGUCUUGUUAAAUUUUAUAUAUCUCAAUACCUUUUAAUUAUAUAAAUUCGAAGCACCGAUUAAUUCUAUUUAGCAUAGGAUCAGAAAAACAUGUGAAAGGGUCCUGGAUCUUAAAUUGCCAUUCAACAAUUAACUAGCAACCCGUUGCUUCUUGAAUCUGGCUGAAUGCUUUAAGAGCCAAGUGGGCAUGAUGUGGAGUCCAGUGUUCCUCUGCUCUGCUUUUGUUAGCGGCGUGUUCUGUUUCAGGAUUCAUAAUAUUCCAAGUUUGAUCUUCUUUGCCUACACCGGUACUGGGGAAGGUGACUUGGAAUCGGGCUUGCAUUUUUCACCUAACGAAGGUUCACUGCUCACAGCUACAAGGAAAAAUACAAAAAUAGGAAUUGCAUAACCAAAUCAACACAAUAAUGCCCAAACUCAAAAUCUUCCAUCCUCUGUUGUUUUUCGAAGUAGAAAUCUUCCAUGUCAAUGGCACGCUCAAAAAAUAUUGGCCUGUUGAAUUGGAGGAGUGGGAGUGGUGGUCGGUUCAAGAGCAUCCCUGUCCUCUUUUUCUACAACAUGUUUUCUGUUUUUGUGAGAACUUGGAAUACUGGGGCUGUCUGUCUCCCGGCCGCUAUUUUCAACACAGGGCUUUCUUGGUGAUGCUUGGAGGCCAUCGGUCUCGCCUCUGUAGUUAGGCAGUAAAUGAACAGGGGACAUGGCAUGCGUUGGGAUGCCUGGUGCACUCGUUGCUGGUGUUAUAGUGCUCGGGUGUCGGUUCUGUUUUAUGUGUUUUCUUGCGGUGUUGUGCCAGUUUCUUAUUGCCUUGGCAAGUCACUCAUUGAAGAUUGUUGACCUCAUGGUUGAACCCAUCUGAUUUCAUAAUAUGGACAUAAUUGCUUUAUAAUUUUGUAAUACUGAAACUAUAGGAAGAUCAUAUGAAAAAACAAUAUUAAUAAUGACCAGAGUUAACAAAGAACAAAAAUAAUAUUAAUCAAAUAGCAUCACUAAAUGAUCAAUUAGAGAUACUAUUUGGAUUUAUUAUAAGAUUUAAAACUAAAAUGAUUCAAGAUAAAUUAAUUGGACUGGUAAUGAAUAUUUGAACUAACCAAUUACAAAUAUGAUAGACUAGAUCUUCGUGUAUUGUUUAGAGCCAUAUCUGGAGCUAUAAGUAGAUUUUUGUUGCCACUCUCGUUAGGAUGGAAAUUAAACAUAUCAAGUUUUUCAUUAAUAUAUGGUAGAAUUAGUAAUUCCUCCAAACAAUAAAAAAUAAUGUAUUUGAAGCCGGGCCAUAAGUUGUUGGAUGAGGUUUGCUAUUUGUUUUUUUAUAAUUUGUGGAUUUUUUAUUCAGCAAAGAUUCUUUUUCUCCAAAAAAAAAAUAACCAGUAGAAAUUAGGAUUAUUUUGGGAAGGAUUUUCAUGUCAUCAACUUGUGUUCUUUUUUUUUUUUGUUGAUUUUCUUGUUGGUAAGGUUUUAUUAUCAUUCAAGGAGAGUAAGAUGUGAUUUGGAUUUAUUUUUACUAAUACACAGUUUUAUAUUAAAAAGCAUAAUUUUUUAUUUGAAUGUUGGAUCGAACUGAAAUUUUAUCAAAAAUUUGUUUGGAUCUAUUUUACUAAUACACAGUUUUAUACUAACAAACAUAAUUUUUUAUCUGAAUAUUGGAUCGAGCUGAAAUUAUAUCAAAAAUUUCUUAAGUUUUUUAUAUUGAGUUAUAAUUUUAGGCUAAUCUAAUAUUGUCAGAUUUCUAAAAAAUAAAUAUAGAAAAACCUGAUUUGUAAAUACCCAUUUUUAUCCAUGAACGAUGAUUCAAGUCCGACUCAUAUAAAUUUUCUUUGGAUGCUAUUACUUAAGGUCAGAUAUAUAGAUACUUUGCUUACUGGCCUGAAAUUAUAAUAAAUGAUGAAAGCAACCAAUAUACCCAUCAUAAUCAUAUGAUUAUGAAUGGAAAUUGAUGGUUCUCGCAAAGCCAUGCAUUCUUUACAAGCUUGUCAAGGGACGGCGACGUUUCUUUGGGCUGCAUUGACCGUUGUAUAAAAUCAUUAAUUUCCACUCACUACGCGUGUAUAGGAGGAAAUUAAGGUGAAACUUCACGGAAAAUCUCCGUUGUCUAAUCCAAUAAUAAUAAUAAAAAAAUAGAGAAAAUCCUGUUUAUUUCUCGUGUCAAUUAUUUUACGUCGAAAGAAAGAUUAUUGAGGCACGCGAUUUUUUUCCUGUCCAUUUAUUGCAUCGCAGGAUAUUCUGAACGCUUCCAUUGCGUGCUGUGAUAGAGAGAGAAAUUUACUUUAAGAGGGGAGAAAAUAUAAUUGAGCUUUGACAAAAAAUAAAAAAAAAAACUAUUAAUAAUUAAAGUUUUUCUGAUUAAAAAAUAUGUAAGCGAUAUUGUUAAUGCUAAAUAUCCAAUAAAAUUGUAACGAGAAUACUAAAAUAAUUUUAAAAAAAUUAACAUUCUUAUUAAAUUAAAAAAUAUUUUUUAAAAUAACCGUUAGACUCCACCAUCGAUUAUAUAGAUAAGCUAUACAUAAAUUAUAAUAUAAAACACUCUUGAAAUAUCAUAAAGUUAGAGAGACCGAUCAAAAGUCUUUUAGAUAUAACAAAACCCUUCAUAUUUGUAGACAUGAUUAUCAGUUUGGUAGAUGAACAAUAUUAAACUCACUAUUUAAUUUUGGUAAAUUUAUUUAUUUAUUCAAAAAUUAUUUCUAUGAUUUCUUUUUAGUUUAACUAGUUCUUGAAAAUACUAAUUAAAGAUAUUAAUUUUGCAUAUAUAAAAGAGGAUUUUUAAUGAAUCUUCAUAUUUUUAAAUAAUAAUACGAUCAAAACUUGAUUUUAAGUAAUUAUACACACACACAGAGGAGCGAAACUAGGUUUCAAAAACCAAGCAAGUUGCCCCAUAUAUUUUUAUCAAAUUGCAAAUUGAUUUGAAGUGUGAACUCCAUUUGCUAUUUUCAAGUCGUUGCAAACCACCUACUUGAUUAACUUCUUUACUCAUUUCAAUCUCACCAAUAUCAACUAAAUAUUCAAUUGUAGCUGCUUACAAAGCUUGUAAUUCAUCAUUACGCUUGCAAGAAGUACUAACAAUGUUAAUAAUAAAAAUCAAAUUCUCAAAGAAAAUAUGAACAUUAAAUAUUUCUCUAACUACAGCAAUAAGAGCUAAUUGUAAUUGAUGAGCUAAACAAUAUACAUAAUAUGCAUAAAGGCAAUCAUUAAUGAAUAAAGCUUGCAAAACAAUUCCACUCUCCACGCAUAUUAUUAGCACCAUCAUACCCUUGGCCUCUAAUAUUUUGAGCAUCAAGAUUGUAGUGAGAUAAAACAAAGGAAAUCUCUUCCUUAAGAGUUGAAGCAGUUGUAUCUUUGAUAUAAACUAUAUCCAAAAAUUGUUCUCGUAUAAAUCCAAUUCCAUCAACAAACCUAAUAACAAGAGUCAUUAGCUCUUUUCUGGAUUCAUCUCGAGCUUCAUCAACAAUUCAAUAAAAUAUUGCAUCAUCAAUCUCGUGACGAAUUGAGGAUUGAACAUUUCUAGCAAAGACAUGCAAAAUUUCUUUUUUAAUUUGAUGUGAGGUGUAUUUAGCAUUUUAUGGAGCAUUAUCCAAAACAAGAACACCUACUUGUUCAUUGUAUGAUGCUAAAAGUUCCACAAUUUCAAGAAAAUUUCAUCGGUUUUUUUAUUCUGGACGUUUAUCAUACCAUUUAAAAGCACAUACUUGAAAUGUGAGCCAACAAACAAUAUCUAUUGAAGCUUUAAUAUGUAAUUGAUCAUUUAGAAUUUCUUGAUUAGUUUGCCUCUUAACUACCUUCUCAAUAUGACAUAACUGACUUUUUAAAUUUUCCAAGUACCUGGUAGCAAAUCUAUGAGCUCAAUUUGGAUAUUUUCUCAUAUGAGUCAAAAAAACACAUUGUUCCUCAUUAUUAACUUUCUUCCAACAAUUGAAUCAUUUACCAAUAAAUGUGUCUAAUCCUAGCUUUCUAGAUGACUUACUUGUCUGAUCCUAGCUUUCUAGAUGGCUUACUUGGAAAUAGAUAGUAAGGGAAACAAAAUGCAAUAUUUUUCUUUGAAUAUUCAAGUCAUGGAUAACUUUUGAAUCAAUGAGGCUAAAAUCAAUGAGGAUAUUUUUCACCAAUCAGCAUAUAUUCAGAUAUCAAAGGUUGAUAUGGCCCUAAAUUAAUAGAUGCCCUUCGAAUUUCAUCUUAUUGAUUAACUAGGUAUUUUCAAAUUUGAGAAUGAUUGCUUGGAUCUCUAAUUAAAUGAGCAAUGUCGAUUUUAGUAGGAGGCUGCUCACUAAUCAAUGCAAGUUCUCCAUAAAUUGAAGAACAUUGGAGUUGCUCAACCAUAACUUCAACAUUACACAUUGAAGUUGGUUCACUAGGUUGUGAGUUAUCAAUAUUUUUCUUUUUUUUUUCUAAAAAAAAGAAUCAAUUCUUCUUAUUUUGUUCAUGGUUCAACCUAAAAUCAAAACAUCAUAAAUUUUUAUUAUUUCCUGUUCUAAAAAUGAAUACAAAUGAUGAUGUGCUAAAGCAAUAAUUAGAACCAAAACUAAAUUUUUACAUGUAAACCAUACUGACAUAUAAAGCAAAAUUAACAUAUUAAAAAAAAACUAAUAUAUAAAAGCAAAUUUGACAUAAAAAUAGAAUUAUUAGCCUAAAAAAGAAAAACUUACAUUGAAUCAAAGUUGGGUAUGUGCUCUUCAAAGAACUCAAUAUGACUAGAAAGAUGUGUCUAAUUGUUUAUUGGACUCGGUGAUAGUAAGGUACAUGUGAGAAAAAAAUUGGUAAUUUUGAUGGAUCUACUAAAAACAAAACAUAAAAAAAAUUCAAGCAUAAUAGAAACAAACCCAUAAAAUAUAUCAAAUUAAUUAGAAAAAAAAAUUCACCAAUAACAAGAAUUCAAAAAACAAUUGGUAAAACUAGCAAAUUUGGGGAAAAAAAAGCGAAAAAGGUAGAAUUAGAAAAAAAAAAACUCAUCAAAUUCUUAACAAAUAUCCCAAAAUAAAAUAAAAAUAGAUUUUAAGUUUGAGUCAGCAAUUGCCUUGUUUUGAUGAAAGAUGAAUUAAUUUUUGUGGCUAUGCUUCAACCUUUUCCCUUUGCUAUUUAUUUUUAUUUUUAUUUUUUACCAUUUGUAUUAGGGCUUAGAAAAAGAAGAGAAUAAGGAUAAUUGAAUUAAAAAAAGUUGUUUAUGUUUUUUCUUUCCAAGCAUAAAAUAAAAUAAAGAGUUUUAAAGUCAAAUUAAGAAUAGCAAAUGUUGUUUAAUUUUUGUAUAUAAGAAUAUAGUAUCAUAUAUUUAUAUAUAUAUUUAAAAUAAAAAAUAGCCCCUAUAUAUAUUAAUUCAAAUAAUUAAAUUUAUCAUAUAUUUAUAUAUAUGAUAUGAUAUCAUCUUCGUUCUGAUUCAUCCUUUGAUAUCAUAACAAUAAUAGUUUUUUCUAAGUAGCAACUCUAGAUUGAUCCACUUGAACUAUACGCUAAAGUGUGAACAAAACAAAAGAAAGGAAUCUAAGAAGAUGAAGGAAAGGACUUAAUUAAGCCUCGUUAAUGAAUAGUGUUAGACUGUAACUUGUCUGAAGAGCAUAAUGCUUUGCUUUAUGGUUGGAUUUUUUUUUUUUAGUUCUCGGUUAAUUAUUGUUCUUGAACUCACUGUAGAAGAAGAAUUUCUUUAGAAAGUUUCAGCUGGCUGUUUUUAGCAAGGAUUCCAAUUUCCUUGGAACUGGAGAAUUGAAGAUGAUCGUGGAAAGAUGGUCAGCUGUUGUUUGUUUUUCUGUUCUUCCCUUGCUGCAAUUUUACAAAGGUUAAUAGUAUUUCUUCUUCUUCUUUUUCCGCUUUAAUGGUAGGAAAAUUUAGAACUGUUGGAAAAUUGGAUUUUUGUAUACAAAGGGUCGUUAUGAUAUUUUUAUUAAAAAUUAACUGAUAUUUUGAAGAUUUAACAGUCAAUGACGGAAAAGGGACUAAAUCUAUUGUUUCCCAAAUUAGAGGGACUAAGUUAUUACUUCGUUAAAAACGCAGGGAUUAAAAACUAAAUUACUGUAAAGGUAUCGACAUCAGGAAUACGCGGCUGCAAAAGUCUUGGCAAUCUCCCGAUAAUUUAUAGUGUUCUCCAUCAACCUUAGAAUAUUAACAAAGUAGAAUCUUGAAGAACAGAUCAUGGCUACAGAAGAUACUUCAAUUCGCACGCUUGAACACACACCAUCAUGGGCACUCGCCACAGUUUGUUUUGUUAUCAUAUCCGUUUCAAUUGUCCUGGAGCACAUUUUUCAUCUCCUCACAAACGUAAGUACAUAUUCCCAAGAAUGUAAUUAUUUUUCCCAGGUAAAUAUGUAUCAAGCUAGCUAACAUAAAAGGGUGAUACAGUGGCUUAACAGAAGUCGAAGAACUGCUUUGGGCGAGGCAGCGGACAAGCUCAAAUCAGGUGUAAAACAUAUAUAGCUCCUUAUUAAUUGUGUAUGUUGUGCAUCCACUUCAUUAACUAACCAUUUGGAGGUGUUUUUUACAGAGUUGAUGUUGUUAGGAUUCAUGUCAUUGAUGCUGGCGGCGACCCAAAAACCAAUUUCUAAAAUCUGCAUACCAGCCAAUCUUGCGAACUCCAUGCUUCCUUGUCGUAAAGAGGUUGCAAUAUCCAAACUCACUGCAGUACAAAAUUAUGGAAACUUUGCCGGUAGUUUUGUUGGGAGUUUGUCUUCAGAGAAUGGUCUGCGUGGUAAGAAUAUUUUAUGGGGGCAUAGGAGUUUGUUAGCAGAUGACGGUGUAAAUAUUUCUGAUGAUCCUUGCAGUUCAAAAGUAUGGCUCUGCAAUUUCUUCUUUCUUCUCAUAUAUUUGGUUAGUUCUAUUCAUACAAUCUAAUUAUGAUCAAUAAUUUCAGGGAAAGGUUUCUUUAAUAUCAGAAAAAGGGAUCCAUCAGCUUCACAUAUUCAUUUUUGUGCUAGCAGUUAUGCAAAUUGUAUAUAGUGUUCUAACCAUGGCUCUGGGCUGGACCAAGGUACUUAAAACGCUCUCUUCACAUCAGGUUUAACGUGUUUUUUUUAGAAUGAAUCUAAUGUUCUUCUUGCUUACGAUACAAAAUUAAUGUUUUUGUAACAUUAUUAUCAUAGAUGAGGCGGUGGGAAGCUUGGGAGAAAGAAAGUCGGACAAUUGAAUACCAAGUUGCAAAUGGUAUGUGGUCAUCAUGCAUAAGAACUCUUUUUUCUUUUUUCAUAAUAUCAUGCGUACGUAAUGAGAAGUGGAGUGAAAUUAGAAAUCGGAGAAGUUAAUUUAUUCUCCUUCUGCAUUCUAAAACCCUCUCUCCUUGCCAGUUUUUUAGAAGAAAAAGACUGCAAGUGAUUGGUUCUUUGUAUACUCACGGAAUUAAAUACAUCAGAAUCACCACCACCAUGAGAUUUAAACGACUGAGAAGAUGAAAAAUCGACAUGAUCAUCAUAAUAGAUUAAAGAAAGGCUAUUAGUUUACGUUAUUGAUUCUUGAUUUGGGAACAUAUCAAUGGCAGUUCUUUCGUUUCACGAGCUGCAGUCCAUAUACAUGAUCAGUAGACUUGAGAAAGACCUUUUAGGCCAUGCUUGACCAAGACUGGUUCAAGUUGUGGUGCAAACUUUGCGGAUUUUUUAAGCCGUUGAAGAAAAGAAACGCGAUGACCUUAAAUGCAUGAAUUGCCACUUCGAUGAUAUUUAUUGAUACGAUGUGUCAACAUGAAAGAGAAAAGAUGGCUGUACCUGUAUGUUGAUGGAUGCUGGUUUCAUUUAUUAUCACCAACAAGUUUUCAAGUGUGUUUCGCUAUACGCAGCGGUUGAGUUUUAAAAAAACCACAAAACAAUUUAUGUUCGGUGAAGUGUUAAUUAGUGUUUUUAAAACAUGGGACCUAUGAAAAAUAAAUGAUGUGAAAACUCUAUUUUAAGAAAAGUAUCUUCCACCUGCUUUUCAAAAUCAUUUUCAUACGUAAUUUUAAUUAAAUAUUUUAUUAAACAUUUUUAAACUGUCUUUUAAUUUAAAGUUAAUUUCAACUAUAACUAAAUAUAUAUUUUAUCAAACUAACUAAAACUAAAAAUAUAUUUUUAAAAUUUUUAAAUUAUAAUUACAGAAACUAUCACAAUAUCAAACCUAAACCUAAACGAGUUAACCGGAAUUCCAAAACCCAAACCACUUGUAUUAUUGUGAACCAGCUAGUUAAUGAAAUAUGAUCAUAAAAGUGAUGACCAUGUUAUGCAAUAAUUAAAAUAUUCAAAAGAUUUUCUUUUUAGGUAAAUACUUUUUAUUUUAUGGUGAUGACCAUGUUUAAAACUUUUAAUUUGCUGCUGCUGUUGCUAAUAAUAAUAAUAAAUACAAACACUGUUAGAGAGUAAAUGUAGUAUCAACCAUCCGAAUUCACAACAGAUAAAUGCCGCUUUGAAUACUUCAAGAGAUUAAUUUAGCGGUCCUGUUUAUUGAUUAGAUCCAAAUCGAUUUAGACUCACAAGACAAACAACAUUCGGAAGACGGCAUAUAGAGACUUGGACAAACAUGUCAGCUCUUCUAUGGAUGGUGAGUUUACUUUUUGUUAUUCGUAUGAUGAUGAUGAUGAUGAUGAUGGCGGCGGCAUGAGAAGAAGUUAAGUAUUAGAGAUAAUUGGAUUACAAGUUCUCUAAUUAAUGACUGCAUUUGGAUGAACAGAUAUGUUUCUUCAGACAGUUUUUUCAUUCGGUAGCAAAAGUUGAUUAUCUCACCUUGAGACAUGGUUUUAUCUCGGUAAUGAUCUUCCAAAUACUCCAUUAAUCUUCCUGCAUUAAACUUUAUAUAACUGGUGCGUGUGUGUCAUCAUAAGUAUACAUGAGAUGAUCAAACCUGUCUUCUCCAUGCUCACUGAUGUAUGGUGAUGUGUGCACUUUUAAGGCACACUUGUCAACCAGGAACGUCAACCAUUUCAAUUUCCAAGAAUACAUACAGCGAUCCUUAGACGACGAUUUCAAGGUCAUUGUUAGCAUCAGGUAUUCUCACAAGCUAACAACUAUCCUCAUGGUUAACUAUUUUUCUUUUUCUUUUUCAUUCCAUAUAUAUAUAUAGAUCUCAUUAAACAUAUACAGAUCUAUGUAUUUAUAUAUGCCUCUUUCUGGCAGUCCUUUUAUGUGGUUUUUGGUGGCAAUUUUCUUGCUGCUGGACGUACGUGGUAAAUACGGUUUGCCGUUCAUCUUCUGUAUCCACCUUAUUUAUGCUUCAUUUUCUUUGCAAUUAUAUAUUUCUUCACGUGCUAUAUUUGUUUUCUGGGAUGUUCAGGUUGGAAUGUAUACCACUGGAUUUCCUAUGUUCCACUCGUGGUAAUUAACUAAGUUUAUUCAAGCAUUGUUAUUGAUUUUAUUACAACGGAAAAGGUAUAUGUUGUAAUCAUCGGUAGCCAUAUCUGUGCUCUGAAAGGGAAAAUAUGAGUUUAACGUACACCUUUUCCUCUUCAAAAUUUAACGAAAACCUUGUCUUGUAAUUCUUCUAUAUAUAUAUAUAUAUAUAUAUAUAUAUAUCAAGUUUUACAGCAGCCGACUUACUGAUAUUGUAGAUUGUGCUGGUCCUGGGAGCCAAACUUGAGGUGAUUGUUGCAAAAAUGGCUUUCCGAAUCGAUGAUCAAAACUGUGUGAGCAGAGGAACCCCUCUUGUUCAUCCAAAUGAUAAUCUCUUUUGGUUCGGUCAACCAAGAUUUGUUCUUGUUCUUAUCCAUUUUGUUCUGUUUGUGGUAAUUAUUCCUCCUCUCUAUAAACUAGCUAGCUAGAUCAAAAGGGAAAUACAAUAAGAAACUAAUUAAGUAGUUCGUAUCGAUGCUUUUGGACAUGCAUGGUGCUAACACUUGUUACUGAUCAACCUGUAGAAUGCAUUUGAGUUUGCCUUCUUCAUUUGGGUUGCAGUAAGUGUUUUAACCUCUCUCUCGUAUCUUUUUUCAACUCUCCUUCUUGUGAUGUAAUUUAUUUAUUUAGUUGAGAGAGAGAGAGCGUAUAACAUUUUUUUCUAGAAAGUCUAUGACAUUUUCCUACGUUUGAUCUUUUUUCCAGAUACAAUUCGGGCUUGAAUCAUGUUACCAUGAGAACACUUCAUUUAUUGUCGCAAGGGUCGUGUUAGCGUAAGAUUCUCUUUUGACAUAAUUUAUAAGAAGUGAUUUUUCAUUUUCAUUUAUAAUUUAUAAUUAUUUUUAUCAAUAAUUUAUAAGAAAUUAUUUAAAUUAGAAAUAUUUGAUUAAAAAAUGGCUCAAACAAUUUAUUUAUUUUAUUAUUUAAAUUAGAAAUAUUUUUUUAUUUUUUUAAAUUUAUAUUUUAUAUUAACACAUUAAGAUGAUCUAAAAAUAAAAAAUUAAUUUUUUAAAACAUUUUUAAAACCAAAACACAAACAAGUUCUAAAUAUCAUCAUUUUGCUCAACUCAGGAUCACAGUUCAAGUCAUAUGCAGCUACAUUACCCUUCCGCUCUAUGCACUUGUCACACAGGUAACUUAAUUCCAUAUAAUUAACGAUUCCAAAUUUGUUCUACCAACUUGUAUCCUGCUAGCUCUAUUUAACAACCCUUGUUUUUGUUCUUUUCCCCUAAAAUGAAUUUCAUCACAUAUAUAUAUAUAUGAUGAUGAUGAUGAUGAUGAUGAUGAUGGAUUUUGUAUGUAUAUAUGUUGCUAGAUGGGGUCUCAAUUCAAGAGUAAGGUACUAGAAGAGCAAGUGGCUAAUAUUAUAAAGCAACGGCAUGCUGAAGCGAGGGAAAGAAGGAAGACGCAAGAUCAAUAUUCUUUACGGUCUCCGCGUUCUGCUUUGUCUACUGAUCGGAGCAUCAAAAUGUACAGUCCCAUCAGAUCGCCAAGACCACCAAUAUUACAUGAACUCACUCUGUCAUCCAACGAACAACAGAUUGCUGCAAAAGAUAAUGAAAAACGAAGCCGGCUCAUCCAUUAAUCUGGGCAUCAUCCCGGGAAAUCAUGCUAGAAAUGAUGCAAACAACGAAGGCCGUAUUGAUCAUCAUAUUCAAAAACCAUGCAUGUUGAAGGAGAAAAUUCAUAUAUAUAUAUACACACACAACU